rnacentral:lncRNA from 1 species
UAUUUAUAUCUUUCUUUUAUCGAACCAUUAAGGGAAUUUGGUUGAAUUUAUGGACUAACUAUAUGAUCUAUGAUACAUUUCAGGUUCUUCCUGAAGCAUACAAUUCCUUUAUAUCUGCAAUAGAGAAGAAGGACAACAUAAGAAUAAUGCCGAACAAAAUCAUGGCUGGUGCUCCACACCUCACUCCUGGUGCUUUUUUGAUCGGCGAUGCAUUCAAUACGCGGCAUGCUAUAACUGGAGGGGGAAUGACUGUUGCUUUAUCUGAUGUUGUGAUACUUAGGGAUCUUCUAAGACCCUUGCAUGAUCUAUCUGAUGCAUCCGCCAUUUGCAAAUAUCUCGAAUCCUUUUAUACUCUGAGGAAGGUAUUGUAGUUUCAUGUUCUAUAUGAAUUUUUUAAAGUGAAUAAAAAGGAACAAAAAAUGGCUUAAAUUUUCGCUUUUAACUGCAUGCAGCCAAUGUCAUCUACGAUAAAUACACUAGCCAAUGUCUUACACAAGGUAUUUAGUGCCUCGUCCGAUCCUGCGAUGGAGAAUAUGCAACAAACAUUGUUCGGGUAUUUGAAACUUGGAGGAUUUUUUUCAUCUGGAGUAUCAGCUAUGUUCUCUGGUUUAUGCCCUCGUCCAUUAAGCUUAGCAUUUCAUUUCUUUGUUAUGGCAAUAUAUGGUGUUGGCCAGUUGUUACUUCCAUUUCCUUCUCCCAAACGCUUGUUGGAUGGGGCUAAACUCCUUUGGGUCAGUAUCUCUGCCAAUCAUUUCUCAUAUAUCAUGAUCACUAACACGAUAAAAAUAUAUAAUAAUUUAAAAAUGACGUGUUAUUUUUAUUUUUUGUUUUUUCAGGUUGCAUCAAGCGUUUUUCUCCCCAUUAUACACUCUGAAGGAAUCAGACAAAUGUUUUUCCCUCUAACUGUGCCAGCAUAUUAUAGAACUCCCCCUAAGGGAAAAAAAAUCUAAGAGGAAACUCCAUGCAUUUGUAGUGAACAAUUCUAUAUUAAUUCGCAAUAGAUUUUCAUACUUUUUUCUACUUAGCAUUCUCAAGUAGGCUUGAUGGUCGUUUGUACUCAUAUUAUUGUUAUGUAAUUUCUAAAUAGACGUUUAGUAAUUCUUGUAUUGGUGUUAUUUUUAUGUAGCUUGUUUGAAAUAUUGAACUAACGAGUUAGCAUAUAUCCUAAAGCAUUUCUUGCGAUGGAGAGGGCUUUUCUAGAUGAGGAGCUUUGACAUAGGUGACUUGAGUGGAAACAUCUAUCCAAAUUUUGCACAAAUUUACAACCAAAGUGAAUAAAGUUGAGUCUGUGAUACAUUUUCGAUAAAAUAUCUUUUUAGCUAACUGACGGCAAAAGUGACAUUAAAUAUUCCAGAAAUAAUAUUUGAUGCUCCCCCAGCGUAUAGCAGAACUCCACCUGGCACUUUUUAUCAUACCAAAAAAUAAGUUAAUUUGUCUUUUCCCUUGGUUUUUUUUUUCCCAAUGAUAAUUUAUCCUUUUUGUUUUUGCAUUACAGGUGGUGGAGGUACAUCUAUCAUUUUUUGUCAAGUUUUUGUUUUUCCAUUACGUGAGGCGGGCAGCAGCCAAACUAAGGCGCUGGCAGGUUACUGCUCUUAAAAUAGAAAAUUUUCUAUUCCCACUCUUAAAAUAGAAAAUUUUCUAUUUAUUUUUUUAAAUUUUUUUAAAUUUUAAAUUAAUAAAGAUAAAAUUAUAUUUUGACUUUCUUAAAAUUGAUAAAAAUUUAAUUUAUUUUUUAAAAAAUUAUAAAGAUACAAAUUAUUAAAAUAGUAAAAUCGUACUUUACUAUCGUAAAAAUUACAAUUUAAUUUUUUGUGACAUUAAGGACUAAAUUGAAUAAAUUAAAAGUUGUUAUGAAAUUAUGCUAUAGAUUAAAAAUACAAGGUCUCUAACAUGAAAGUAUAUGAAAUCAAAUGUUGAUCCAAUACUAAAGAUUGAAAAGUAUGAGUAUUUCGAAUAUAGGGAAAAUGAAUAAACUACAAAAUAUAUUUGACUAUGUUUAUCAUGUGGUUGAGUGAAAACUAAUGCUAUUUUAUAAUUGAAUUAUAUAACGUAGAUAAAAACAAUGUCAGGCCGUCCUGAGAUAAAGGAAAUGCUAGAAUUGUAGAUAAGUAAUUAAUACGAACUAAUACGAUUUGUACAUUCAUGAUUCGAAUUCAAUAUUUACAAACUAAUAUGUCUCAUGGUUUAGUUUGUAUUUCAAUACUAUUGAACAUAUGUUUUAUCUUUAGAUUUAUAAUUUGUAAAUGUUUAAUUUAAAUAUGAUAUAAAAGUAUGUAAAUAAAAAAAAAUGUGAUCCUAAUAAUAUUAGUUAUAAUUUAAAAGAAGAGAGAGUUUAUUAUUUUUAUUUCACUUAAAAAUAGAAUUAAUUUAACGAAAAUUUGAAACAAUGGGUUAUUAUAGAGAACUAACCUAGUAAAAACUGUACUUUAUACUUUAUAAUUAAAAGUGAUCGAUAGAAAGUUGUUCUAAAAGUAUUAUUUAUUUUAUAUAAAAAAACCUUAUAACCACUAAAUAUAUAUUAAUAAAGAUUAAAUAUUUAAUCAAUAUGAUAAAAAUUUCGAACUAAUUUAAAAUUGUACGUGCAUAAGAACCACAUUUAUAUCGAUAUAUUCAUUUUAUAAUUAUAUAAAAGCUUGAGUAAAACUAUUAGCUUUACAGGUGAAUCCCAGGAACGAAGUAAGAAAAUUUUUAAGUAGAAUUAAAUUAUAUAUUUUUAUUUUAAUAAAAUGUAAUUUUAUUAUUUUUAAUAGUUAAAACAUCAAAGUAAAAUUUUAUUAUUGUUGAUUUAACAUUUUAUAAAGAAUGUGGUGGAUCCUUCUGAUAUUUUUAUUGAUACAAAAAAGUAGAGGCUCGAGUAGAGUACAGUGAUUUUAGUUGCCACUUGUGCAGAGGGAUAAGCCACUGACAUGACUGCAUACAUGAAAGAAGACAAAUUGAAUUGUAAGUUACUGCUCCUUUACGCAAAGAUUCUUUUCAGAGAGGUGAAGGACAAAAACCGGCGGUGCUUCUUCACUCACUAUUCAUUGGACCCCUUUCUUAUAUAAAUGUUGUUCUUCUUGAUUAUUCUUUCCAUACAUUGUUCUUAAAACAAUGGCUGGGCAGUUUAUAGUUGAAGUUGCAGGUGUUAUAGUCUUUCUUUUGGGGUUUGCUUUCUUAGUGAGAUUUUGGGGGCUGAGCAAGCUGAAAAGAGCAGCUUCAAUGGAGUUCCCAAAGGAAAACUGUGUAAACAAAAAUGGAAAUGGUGAGGGUGAGGGUGAGGGUGUUGGGACUACAUAUAUUAUCAUAGUCGGUGCUGGUGUUGCCGGUGCUGCUCUUGCCUAUUCUCUUGGAAAGGUCCCAAUUUUUUAUCACCUUUAUUUUAAUUUUAUAGAAUUAAGUUCCGAUCGACUUAGGAUAAUAAUAGUAAUGAACUCUAAAAAGAUCAUGGAGCCAUACGCAUGACCCUCGGAAAUAGUCUUCUUCAAUAUUUUUAUAGUACUAAAAAUAAUAUUAAAAAAUUUAUUCAACUAUAAUAACACAAAGAGUAUUUUCUGCUAUAAAAAUUGUUAAAAUAAGGCUUCACAAUAAAAUGGAGAAUGAGUUUUUUACAGAUAAUUUUAUUAUUUAUAUUGAGAGAGAUUGUUAAAAUUUUUUAUUUAGACUUUAUAAUAUUUAAUGAUUUUAUUUCCUUGAAAGAACAUUGUGCACAAUUUUAAGUAAACAUACUCAUGCCCGACCUAACUAGAAGGUCUACUCGAAAAGUGGGAGAGUUUGGGUAAAAAUAUAAAUUAAGAAAAUGAGUUUGGGAAAAAAAUGCCCUUUUAGAAAACAGGUUGAGUCUUCGGUAAGGUUUUUUCGGCCCGGCCCAAAUAUGUAUUUUUUUUUUCUGUUUUUUACUCUUUUUUUUUCUAUUCUUUUAUUUCUUUCACCAUUUUACUACUAUGUUGCUAUUAUUUUGUUGUUAUUGUAUAAUUCUUAUUUUAUUGUUAAUUUUAUUAUUAUUUUAGAUAUAUUUGCUUAUUAAGUUACACUUAUCUUAGUGUUAUUUAAGUAUGCAUUUUUCUUAAAUUUAUUUCCAAUUUGUUGAGAAACAUUUAUUUUAAUGUUUUUAGUAUUUUUAAUAUAUUAUAAUUUUAAAAAAAAGUGAUAUAAAAAAUAAUACAUGCCGAGCCCGGGUUUUAACAUUUUAUUUGGGUAAAAUUUUAGGCCUAUUUUUCGGGCACGUGCCUAGCAAAUGAGCCUAAAAUUUUAGUUGAGUCCGGCCCGGCCCAUAAGCAUCUCUAGUUUUAAGUAAUCAUAUGUUAUUUCUUCUUAAUUGUUCUUUUUAAAUAUGUAUUUAUGCUAUCUUUUUUUAACUUAUAUAUAUUUAGAAAUAUAAUUCGAACAAAAAUUUUAUAUAAUUUUUUGUAGUAUAACUAACAUACAUAAUAUACGUUAUAGGAAUUUUGUUAUGUAGCACGUCUAAUUUUAGUUUGUCUCUCUCAAAGUUAACAUCUUAGCUCCGUCACUGUUCAAUAUUAAAAAAUAAAUAUAAAAGAUACUUUAAUCAUGUCAAAUAAUAAAAAUAAGAAUUGAAAUUCCAUCUUAAUUAUAUUUAUUGUAGAAAUACAUAUAAAUAUCUACUUAAAUAGAGAUUUUUUAAAAUAUUGUAGGGGUGGGGAAUGCUCCAUUUAGCUUCAAUUAACAUUACAUUCUCUUCAAGUUUCCAUAAAAUCCUUGAAAAAUGGAUUUAACUAUGAUGUUAUACCUAAUAAUUCUUCUAUAAUUAUAUCUUGCAGGAUGGACGUCGAGUGCGAGUGAUAGAAAGGGACUUAAAUGCACCUAAUAGAAUUGCUGGUGAAGGUCUAUUGCCUGGAGGCUACCUCAAGUUAAUUGAAUUAGGCCUUGAAGGUAAAUAAGAAUAGUGGAUGCAAUAUAAUGUUUCAAUGUCAUUUCUUUAUAUAUUUUACUUUGAAUGUUGGCACUACAGAUUGUUUAGAAGAGAUUGAUGCUCAACGAAUUUUGGGUUAUACUCUAAACAAGGAUGGAAAGGAGGCUCUCGUAUCUUUUCCAUUUGAAAAGUUUCAGUCUCAUGUUGUAGGAAGAACUUUCCAUAAUGGUCGUUUCGUUCAAAGAUUGCGAAAGAAAGCCGCAUCUCUUCACAAGUACUUUCUCUCGUCUCUCCCAAUCAUUCUUUAAUUUCAAUAUAAUAUUUUAGAACAUUUAUCUUAAUGGAUUAAAUGAGUUGUAGUUGUUUUGAUCCAUUACUUCUGUUUAGACCUAUCAAUUAAGCUCGUUCAGUUGAUUUUGGUUUAAUUAAUCUAGAUCAAAUCACUCAAGUUUUAAAGCUAACACAUCAUUUUGGUUUUUAUCAUUUUAGGUUAAGGAUUAUUUUGGGUUCAGAUCAUUUCUAGUUUAGAUUUGAGUCAUUUUGGGUUCAAACAUUAGAGCUCCGGGUUUUAAAUUUUUGAGUCUGGUCAUUAUGAUUUCAUAUCGUUUUGGUUCUAGUCACUUCGAGUUUGGGUCCUUUCAAGUUAAUUUUUGAAUCAUUUUAGGUCUGAGUUAUUUUAAGUUCAAGUUAGUUUGGGUUAGGGUAAAAUUUUAUUUAAGUUUGAGGGACUCAAAUUGUGAACCCUUUAUAGUCAAAUCAAGUUGGAUCAAAUUUAAUUUCCAAUUAGUCUAGUCAAAUUUUUAAAUUCAAGUCAAAAUUGACAUGUCUGGUUCUGUUACUAUUACUUUGUUUCAACUUGUUUUAGUCAGAAAUUAUGCGUCUCUUUACAAGCUCCAAAUUCAUGUUUUGAUGAUAUGAUAACGCAGUGUAAGUUUAGAACAAGGGACAGUAACAUUUCUACUUGAAGAAAAUGGUAUUGUCAAAGGAGUGCACUAUAAAGAUAAGAGUGGUCAAUUGCUAACAGCUUACGCUCCUCUCACCAUCGUCUGUGAUGGUUGUUUCUCGAAUUUGAGACGCUCUCUCUGCCAUUCUAAGGUGAAAAAAAUGCUUACAUAAUCUUGUUAAAUUGGUUUAAUUCUUAUUUUAGUCACUCUAUUACGUUAAAAAUUUGAGAUUUAAUCCUAUUUUUUUUGCCAUAAUUUGAUUCCAUUAUUUUUGUGAUGAUAUUAGUAUGUCAAAAUAGAUCAGUUGCUUUUAUUAAAGAAUUGACUUAUUUUUUGGUCAUAUAGUCAAGGUCACAUUGAAAUCAAGUUAAUUAGGUUCAACCAAUAAUGAAAUUACAUGUUACUCGAAUGUUGUUAGUUUUAAUAGAAAUCUAUGUCAUUAUUUCAAUGGUAACAAUUAAUGGUGUCAUCAAAUUGGACCUACAAUAAAAUUAGAGAGACUAAAUUUUUCCAAAUUAAAAUAGAGGAAUAAAAUUCCAAUUUCAGCUUAGUAGAGGGACUAAAACCACAAUUAGACUUAAAUUAUAUGCUUUGAGAAAAUAUACAUAUAAAGGUCUCGAUUAUUUGUGCAGGUGGAUAUCCCCUCUUAUUUUGUUGGUUUUAUCUUGACGAACUGUAAACUUCCAAAAGAAGAAUAUGGAGUUUUUAUAUUAGCAGAUCUUUCACCUAUCGUAUUUUAUCAAAUUAGUAGCACUGAAAUUCGUUGCUUGGUGGAUGUUCCAAGUCAAAAUCUACCCUCUGUUUCCAAUGGUGAAAUGGCCCAUUACUUGAAAACUUUGGUGGCUCCCAAGGUAUAUUUAUAUCUUUCUUUAAUCGACUCAUUAAGGGAAUUUGGUUGAACUUAUGGACUAACUAUAUGAUCUAUGAUACAUUUCAGGUUCUUCCUGAAUUAUAUGAUUCCUUUAUAUCUGCAAUAGAGAAGAAGGACAACAUAAGAAUAAUGCCGAACAAAAUCAUGGCUGGUGCUCCACACCUCACUCCUGGUGCUUUUUUGAUCGGCGAUGCAUUCAAUAUGCGGCAUGCUAUAACUGGAGGGGGAAUGACUGUUGCUUUAUCUGAUGUUGUGAUACUUAGGGAUCUUCUAAGACCCUUGCAUGAUCUAUCUGAUGCAUCCGCCAUUUGCAAAUAUCUCGAAUCCUUUUACACUCUGAGGAAGGUAUUGUAGUUUCAUGUUCUAUAUGAAUUUUUUAAAAUGAAUAAAAAGGAACAAAAAUGGCAUAAUUUUUCACUUUUAACUGCAUGCAGCCAAUGUCAUCUAUGAUAAAUACACUAGCCAAUGUCUUCCAUAAGGUAUUUAGUGCCUCGUCCGAUCCUGCGAUGGAGAAUAUGCAACAAACAUUGUUGGGCUAUUUGAAGCUUGGAGGGUUUUUUUCAUCUGGAGUAGCAGCUAUGCUCUCUGGUUUAUGCCCUCGUCCAUUAAGCUUAGCAUUUCAUUUCUUUGUCAUGGCAAUAUAUGGUGUUGGCCAGUUGUUGCUUCCAUUUCCUUCUCCCAAACGCUUGUUGGAUGGGGCUAAACUCCUUUGGGUCAGUAUCUCUACCAGUCAUUUCUCAUAUAUCAUGAUCACUAACACGAUAAAAAUAUAUAAUAAUUUAAGAAUGACUUGUUAUUUUUUUUGUUUUUUCAGGUUGCAUCAAGUGUUUUUCUCCCCAUUAUACACUCUGAAGGAAUCAGACAAAUGUUUUUCCCUCUAUCUGUGCCAGCAUAUUAUAGAACCCCCCCUAAGGGUAAAAAAAUCUAAGAGGAAACUCCAUGCAUUUGUGCUGAACAAUCCUAUAUUCGCAACAAAUUUUCAUAUUUGUUUCUAGUUAGCAUUCUUAAGUAGGCUUGAUGGUCGUUUAAACUCAUAUUAUUUUUAUGUGUCUUGUUUAAAAUUCUAAAAAAACGUUUAGUAAUUCUUGUAUUGGUGUUAUUUUUAUGUAGCUUGUUUGAAAUAUUGAACUAACGAGUUAGCGUUUGUAAGUAGGUUCAGUAAGUAUUAUAUUCGUACUGCUUUUACUCAUUCACACACACACACACACACACAUAUAUAUAUAUUAUAUAUACUUUUUCCCUAAAAAAUUACCAAAAGAAUUGAAAUGAAACAAACAAGUUUGUAAAGCUCAAAUAAUUGGAUAAUCAUCGAGAGGGGGUGAUUUAGUGAAUUCUUUUACCAAGCUGAAAAAGGUAGAGAAAAAUUGUUACAUAAGAUUUAGAGAGAGGUUUCAAUAUCACUUGCUAAUCUCUGCAACUCCAUAUCUUUUAUAUGGCUAAGAUAAAACAUUUAAUCCUCUUAAAGUUAUUCUAUCCAUAAGCCUUAAGUACUCCCUUUUACUUAAAGAGAAAUGGUGCAAACAAAUAUGAGCCUCUAAAAGGUGAAGGCUCUCUAGAAUGUAUAUAAAAACUUGAAGAAAAAAAUUCUACUUAGCCCACGAAAUCUAUACAAAGAGAAAUAAAUGAAAGUUCUAUUGGAACUUAUUGUAAAAUCUCUGCAUUCAUGCUUGGAUUUUCUCUUUUUGCUUUUUGUAGUGUUAUUGAUGUAUAUUUAUACCAAUAAAUCGGUUUCUAGCUACUUGAAUUUGUCGGCAUGAAAUAAGACUACAGGAAUGUGAAAAACUCAUGUUUGAAAAGAUAAGAAAAAUGUAGAUGUUAGUCGAGGGGAUUGAUCCUUUCCCCUUUUAUAUUCUUCAUUUAGCUACUAGAAGGGGGAUUGAUCUUGGACAUUGCUCCCAAGGAUGGAUCGUUGUGUAAAAAUACAUAAAAGUAAUUGUAGAACACUUUCAAAUGAGCUUUAUCAACUAAAAAAACAUUGUAAACAUUUUAAACUAGCUGCACAAAUAAUCGAGACCUUUAUAUGUAUAUUUUUUCAAAGCAUAGAAUUUAAGUCUAAUUAUAUUUUCUCAAAGCAUAGAAGGUAAAAUAUGAUGCCUUGUAGCCGAGCAUGAAAAAACAAAUUUGAGAGCUCUUUUUUUAUGUAGUCUUGCAUGCUCAGUUAGGUUAGAUACAUAUUAGGAGAUCUAUAUAAAUAAUGAAGGCAUGGCUUAUAUAAUGGAAAGUAUAAAUUGCAAAUUAACAUGAGCACUAUUUAAAAGUGAUGAUUUAUCAUCUUACAAAUUUAAUUAUUCAUAAGUAUUAUUCAAAUUAAAAAUGAUGAUUUAUAAUCCAAUGAAUACAUUUCUAUAGGACAUGUUUCUCCCAAGGAGUAUGUUCAAUAUGAAUAGUUGUGGCUCUUCAAAUUGUAUUCAUUGAAUGCAUAUAAAUAGAGGCAUUAUGGUACUCAUAAAAAUACAAUUACAAUCAAUCUUAUUUUCAAAAACUAGAGCAAGAGUUAGGGAAUUCCUCGAUUUUGCUAAUCAAAGAAAAUUUAAAACUUCGUUGAAACUCGAGAGGACCUUUGUCUUAACCCUCUUACAAUUUUGUGUGGGGGUAAAUAGUUCUCUUUGAAAAGCAUCAUUCGUGCCUCGAAUUCUACUGUUUAUUUCCAUUCAAGUCUCCAGUUCUAUCGUCUCUACUCAAAUUUUCAACAUUAUAAGGGUAUGUUUGAGGGGUAAAUGAGGUAGUCACACAAUAAACUCUACAACAUUGUCUCCAAUACCUUUUAUUCCUUUUUAUUUUGUUUUUGACCUUUUAUUUAUGUAGCCUUGCUGUUGACAUAAGUUUGUUUAUGUAGGCAAAGUAAAAGUUGCGGUGAUUUGUAGUGGUGGUUGACAUCGUAGGGGUACGAAGAGCACUAAAAAUGAUGAUGCAUAGGGGUCUCUUGGAGAGUUCUUUGGGAGGGAUUCGGAACAACUUUAGCACGUAUCAUAAAGCAUUUCUUGUGGUGAUGACGACGAACUUUGAUAUGGGUGACUUGAGUGGAAACAUUCAUUCAAGUUUUGCACAUGCUCACAACCGAGUGAAUAAAGUUGAGUCCGUAACACAUUACGAGCUUAAUAUAUUCCUCGAUAAAAAAUCUUUUAAGCUAACUGGAUGAAAAAAGUAGCAUUAAAUAUUCUUAAAAUGAUCUCUACUUUUGAUGAACCACCACCAGAGAUCAUGGUCACCCUUAAAACUGAUAUGAAAGGAUUUGCCUUCCCACAUUUAGAGAAAAUUCUCCCUUGCGCUCCAAGCAUGCACACGUAUAUGUAAUUUUUACCAACUUUUCUAAUGCUAUUUUUGUUAGAAAUAUUAGUAUUGGUAUAUAUUAGAAAUGUCGGUAAAAACUUAAGAAAUUUGAUACACCCCCCAAGCGUAUAGCAGGAUACCCCACGUUUAAUUGUUGCUUAUUAAGUUCUUCUAUCAUACCAAAAAGUAAAUUAUUUUGUCUUUCCUUUUUGUUUCUUUUAAUGCCUUCUUCUUUUGUUUUUUUUCUUCCCAAUAAUAACAUAUCCUUUUGUUUUACCAUCACGUGUGGUGGAGAGUAAUUACAACUUCAUGGAUAAAAUGUGGGUAUUUUUCCACCCAAAUAACAUCACAAAAAAUAGACCAAGUCUAGUCAUUUUUAUCAACUGCGUUGCUUUGCGGUCAUAGUGAUGGCUACUCUUUUUUACUGUCUUCCAAAUUAGAGAUGAUUUGGACAGCAUCUCCCUCAACAAAAUAGAAUAAUAUCCCAACACGUCCUUAUUCACUCACCCUCCAUUCCUCCCCUAUAAAUCAUGUUCUUCUUGAUUAUUCGUUCCACACAUUAUUAUUAAAUUAAUGGCUGAGCAGUACAUAGUUGGAGUUGGAGCUGUUAUAGCCUCUCUUUUGGGGUUCCUUUUCUUGUACUGCAAUUCCCUCACAAAAUUUAGGGGACUGAGGAAGCUAAAAAGAGCAGCUACUCCAAAGGGGAACAGUGUAAACAAAACUGGAAAUAGUGAGGGUGUUGGCACUACGGAUAUUAUCAUAGUCGGCGCCGGUGUUGCCGGUGCUGCUCUUGCCUAUUCUCUUGGAAAGGUCCCAUUUUUUCUCCUUGUUCUUUAUUUUGUUCUACCAUAGUUUUAAUCAUCUUAUUUUCCUCUUCCAGCAUAUAACAAUUACUACCUUCUUUUUUCUUUUUUUUUUGUAAAAAUACCAUGAUGGCCUCUUAUUAGGAGUCAACUUACAUAUAUCCUUAUUUAUUCAAAAAUUUGAUAAAUUAGUCUCUUCUCUUAUUAGGAGUCAACUUACAUAUAUCCUUAUUUAUUCAAAAAUUUAAUAAAUUAGUCUCUUUAUGUUAAAUUAAGUAUGAUAAAUUAGUCUCUUUAUGUUAAAUUAAGUAGCAAACGAAUUAUUUCUAUUAAAAAUUAAUUAAUCUAUUUUUAUGGUUAAAAUUAGUGUGGCUAAUGGAAUAAUCAAAUAGUUAUACAUAACAUGCCAUGUGUACCUCACGCUAUAUGUUUUUAAAAGUAGGAAUUGAUGGAUUUUUUAACAGAGAACCAAUUUGCUCUUUGAUCUAUUGUAUAGGGACUAAUUUGUUUAUUUUUUAGUAGAGGAGACAAAUGUAAUCCGACUCUUAGUACAAGGCUUCCAUGAUGUCUUUACCAUUUUACCAUUUUUUUAGGAACAAUUACUAAUUAAGUUUGCAUUUUAUUAUUAUUAUUACUAUUAUUAUUAUUCAUUUUUUAGGAACAAUUACUAAUUAAGUUUGCAUUUUAUUAUUAUUAUUACUAUUAUUAUUAUUAUUAUUUAUAGACAUUUUAUUAUUAUUGGUUGAAGUAUUAUAUGCAAAGAUAAUAUUUUGAUAAGUAUUGAUCUAAAAGAAUAAAAAAUUACUUGACUCAUGAACGAGUAUAAUCUAAUUAAAUAGGUGAUCGAAUUUGUUGAUCCGGAUUUUAAUUAAAUAGGUGAUCGAAUUUGUUGAUCCGGAUUUUAUAAUUUUUUUAUUUUUAUUUUUAAAAAUUUUUAAUAAUAUAUUUAACUUAAAUAAGAUAAACAGAUGGAUGAAAAAUUGAUGAUUUAACUAAUUUCACGGUGAAUUUAGAAAACAUCAAAUAUAGUAUUAGUAACUAAGAAUAUAUUUCCCUACCCCCCCACCAUUCUCCCCUCCUCCUCCCUUACCGUCCCUCCCUUUCACCCUCCACCCAGACGCCGACCCUCUCCCUCUCCCUCUCCCUCUCCCCACCGACCACCACCGCCGAGAGAAAGGGGCUUAAAUAUGGGCGUAUAUCAGUUUUAUAUAAUAAACCUCAAUCGUAGACCACUUUUGUGCUGGAUAUGUUGGUUAAUAGUCACUUAAUACUUCUUUUUCGUUAACAUGAGAGAAGCUUGAGGAAAGAAAAGUAAGAAUAUAGCAGUGGUUACUUCAUUCUACAGUUCCUAGACCAUUUGUGUAGUUGGGAAUUGUCCCAAGUCACCAUUGAGUUUCAUUCUACAAAUCCAAACUAGGUUACUAAGUUGCAAUUUCUCAUAAGCUAAGCCAAACUUCUACUGUAAUUGUAGUUUGUUUGCCAUUUUUUUUUCCCUUCAAAAGUCAUUAAUACUUUGAUGGUAACUUGAUCUCCUUGGGUACAGAAGUGUUUUAGUUGAAGGAAGUUGAAGGAAAAAGGACAAUCAAAACCUGUAAUUUUUCUGCUAAUGUAAGAUAUGGGGGGAGGGGAGAGGGAGAGAGAGGGAGCCAAGAGGGGUGGCCGGGUGGGGGAGGAAAAUAUUUUUAUUUUUUUAGUGUUAAUAUAAUUUUUAAAAUUAAUAUUAACAUAAAUAAAAUUAUAAAAUUAGAAUGUUGAUGUGGCACGAUAUAAUUAGUUAUUGAGUUUUUUUUUAUCAUGUUAAGAUUUGAAAUUAUUUGGGUAAUGGAGCAAUAGUUUAAGUUUCAAUUCUAACUAAAAAAAAAUUUUAGACACCAAGUUGAAAAAAGAGGUAUUGUUUAGAGUGCAAUUUGUCAAUUAAGUCUUUUUUAUAAAUAUAAUUUAAGCACAUUCCAUGACUUGAUAAUGCCGUUUUGUAUUUUUGUUGUUGUUGAAAAUUUACUACUACAAAUAGAGUACAUACACAAGUAUAAUAUAUGCCCAAGCAAUUAUAGUGUGGAAUUAAACUUAUACAAGGACGAAAAUAGAAAAACAUACAUGUCAUAUGCACAUGAUGGAAUAAGAAACUCACGUAUCGCAAUUAUAUAUGAUAGAACUCGAAUCUGGGUACUUAAAAAUCCAGAGCCUCUCACUUAAGUAACAAUACCAAAACCUCAUCUGUCUUCAAAUUUGAAUUUAACAUGAUAUCAUACGUAACAAUUCUUCACAAUUUUCAUGUUACAGGGCGGACGUCGAGUGCAAGUGAUAGAGAGGGACUUAAAUACGCCUAAUAGAAUUGUUGGUGAAGUUCUAUUACCAGGGGGCUACAUAAAGCUAAUUGAAUUAGGCCUUGAGGGUAAACAAGAAAAUUGUGGAUUUAAAUAGUAGAUGCAAUAUAAUGUUACAAUGUUAGUUAUUUAUACAAUAACUUUUUUUUUUUACUUUGAAUGUUGGUACUAUAGAUUGUGUAGAUGAGAUUGAUGCUCAAGAAUUUUUGGGUUAUAGUCUAUACAAGAAUGGAAAGGAGACUCCCAUAUCUUAUCCAAUGGAAAAGUUUCAGUCUCAUAUUUCAGGAAGAACCUCCCAUAAUGGUCGUUUCGUUCAAAGGCUGCGAAAGAAAGCUGCAUCUCUUCACAAGUAUUUUCUCCCCUUCCUCUUAAUCAUUUUUCAAAUUCAACAUAAGAUGUCUAACGUUUGUCUUAAUAAAUUAAAUGACUUGCAUUUUGUUUUGAUCAUUAGACUUGGCAAUUGAGCUAGUUGAAUAGAUUUUGGGUCAUGUCAAUCUAGAUCAAGCCAUUCAAGUUUCAAAAUUCUUUGAGUAAAUAUGGUAUUAGUGUGUUUAGAUUCAAGUCACUUUAGGUUUGGACUCGAGUCAUUUUGAGUUCAGAUUAGAAUGGUUUGAAGCUCGAGUUUUUUGGGUCGAGUUAUGAUAGGUUUAUGUCAUUUUAGGUUUUAACCACCUCAAUUUCUGGUCUUUCAAGUUGUUUGAAUCAUUUCAAGUUGGAGCGAAAAAUUUAUGUUAGGGUGAAAUAAGGUUCGAGUUAGAGAAGUUCAUGUUGUUGAUCCUUUAUAAUAAAAUCAAGUCAAGUUUAGGUUUGAAUUGAUUAAGUUAGGUUUUAGGUUAAGGUUAAAAUUUAAAAGUUUACUUCUAUAUGUAUUACUUUGCUUCAACUUGUUACAACAAUUUAUUAGAAAUAAUACACUUGAAAUUAUACUUUUCUUUACAAGAUCCAAUUUGAUGCAUUGAUGAUAUGAGAAUGUAGUGUAACUCUAGAACAAGGGACAGUAACAUCUCUUAUUGAAGAAAAUGGUAUUGUCAAAGGAGUGCAUUACAAAAAUGAGAGUGGUCAAGUGUUGACAGCUUACGCUCCUCUCACAAUUGUAUGCGAUGGUUGUUUCUCAAAUUUGAGACGCUCUCUUUGUUAUCCUAAGGUAAAAAUGCUUAAGAAUUAGUGUUAAAUUGGUCUAAUUAUGGUUUUCGUCUCUCUAAUUUUAUAUUUCAACAUUCUACUUUAAUUUAGCUUAAUUUGAUUCAUUUAUUUUUUUUAUAAUGUUUUUAUAAUGUGCAAAAUGAUAACAUCAUUAGUUGCCUUUUGUUAGAGUGAUGAAGUAAAAUUGUUUUUAUUUUUAGUCCAUCACAGUGAAGGCCACUUAAAAUUUCUAUCAACCAUAUUCAAUUAACAAUAAAUUUAUAUGUUGACAUUAAAUUUUGUUUUUUUUAAAAUGUCAAUGUCAUCACUUUAUGGCAACAAUUAUUUGUGUUAUCAAUUUGCAUCUACUAAUAACAUUUAAAAGCAAGAGGCCAUUUUUUCUUUCCAAAUUAAAGAAAAGGGAUUAAAUUCCAAUUUUAGGAUAAUAGAGGGACUAAAACUUUUAUUAGACUUGUUAAAUUCUAUUCUUUGAGAAAAUGUAUUAAGGUCUAUUUAUUUUUUUCUGCAGGUUGAUAUACCCUCUUAUCUUGUUGCUCUUACACUGACAAACUGUAGCCUUCCAAAAAAAAAUUAUGGAGCUAUUAUAUUGGCACACCCUUCACCAAUCAUAUGGUAUCCAAUUAGCAGCACUGAAAUUCGUUGCAUGGUGAAUGUUCCUAGUGAAAAGGUACCUUCAGUUUCCAAUGGUGAUAUGGCAUGUUACUUGAAAACUCUGGUGGCUCCCAAGGUAUAUUUUGAUCUUUAUUUUAUUCAUUCAGUAGGGGAAUUUGGCUUAAUUUAUGGACUAACUGUAUGGCUUAUAAUAUCUUUCAGGUUUUUCCUGAAGUGUACAAUUCCUUUAUAUCUGCAAUAGAGAAGAAGGGUAACAUAAGAAUAAUGCCGACUAAAAUCAUGGCUGCUGCUCCACACCUGACUCCUGGUGCGCUUUUGAUUGGAGAUGCACUCAACAUGCGGCACCCUAUAACCGGAGGGGGAAUGACUGUUGCUCUGUCUGAUGUUGUUAUACUUAGGGAUCUUCUAAGACCCUUGCAUGAUCUAUCCGAUGCAUUCACCAUUUCCAAAUAUCUCGAAUCUUUUUAUACUCUGAGGAAGGUAAUGUAGUUUCAUGUUUUAUAUGCAUUUUGAAAGUGAAUGGCAAUGAUGAAAACGGUAUAAUUUUGCCCUUUAACUACAUGCAGCCAAUGUCAUCUACAAUAAAUAUACUGGCUAAUGUCCUACAGAAGGUAUUCAGUGCCUCAUCCAAUCCUGCAAUGGAGAAUAUGCAGCACACCUUUCUCGGGUAUUUGAGACUUGGAGGGGUCUUUUCAUAUGGAAUAUCAGCAAUGCUCUUUGGUUUAUGCCCUCGUCCAUUAAGCAUAGCAUUUCAUUUCUUUUCCAUUGCAAUAUAUGGCAUCGGCCGAUUGUUACUUCCAUUUCCUUCUCCCAAACGCUUGUGGGAUGGGGCUGAAUUCCUUUGGGUCAGUAUAUUUACCAAACAUUUAUAUAUUAACAUGAUAUAAAUAUGUAAUAUCUUAAAUAUGAUUAUGAUAUAGGAUCAUAUUAAUAAAAAUAUUUUCUUGUUUUUCAGUUGGCAUCAAGUAUUCUUCUCCCCUACAUAUACUCCGAAGGAAUCAGACAAACAUUCUUCCCUCUAACUGUGCCAGCAUAUUAUAGAGCUCCCCCUGAAAAUGAGGACAAAAAAAACUUCAUGCAUUAAUUAGCAGUAUUUGUUGGAAGAAUUCUAUGUUUAUAACAAAAUCUCAUAUAUCUGUUACUUGCAUUCUUAGGUAGGCUAGCUGGAUAAUCUUCUGUGUUCGUGCUAUUUAUAUAUGUGAUGUUUAAAAUGCUAAAUAAAUGAGUUAGCUUUUGCAUGACUCAAACACUAGCUAUAAUGUCUUUAGGUGCUUUGCUGGUUCAGGCCAUGUUGAACUUUGUGUGAAUUUGUAGCACUUCUAUAAGAGAUUUGUUUUCAAUAAAUUUAUAUUGCCGAGUAAACAAAAAUAAGUCAGCUUUUUCUAUUUAGUAUAUUGAUCCGUAUAAACACUUAAAUUAUACAAAUAUCUCAUUCGAGCAUAAGAGCAUUGAUUUUAGGCUGAUUAAUUGAAAUUUCUUUCUAAUUAAAACUCAUAUUAUCGUAUUAAUUUAUGCCAUGGAUUCCCCUAUUAGAUUUGACUCUAAUCCGUUAGAUAUAUAUUGUCUUAUUUCUAGGAUUGCAUGCAACUCCACUUAAUUACGCAAGAUCUACCCUUAAAUAGGGUUUAUUCAACCUCCGAUUUAAGCACAUCAAACAUGGAUUAAUAAUCUAAAAAUAUUAAACCAAGAAUUAAGCACGCAUAAUUAAGAACAAAAAACUAAAUGUAACGACCCAAAGUUUAUGAGUAUCGGAAAAGUGUUUUUCCAUGUUACCAUUUUUAUAAGAUAAAUUUGUAAAUAAUUAUUAGAAAUAUUUACGAAGUAAGUAGUGUGAUUAAUUAGAUUUUUGGCUAAGUGAAUUAGCUUGAAUUAAGGCUAAUUUAGUGAAAGGACUAGAUUGAAUAUAGGGUAAAAGUUUAAUUAUAAACUAUAGAAAAGUCAAGAGACUAAAUUAGCAAAUAAGCCUUAUGUAACAAGUGAAUGGUAAGUAUAAAUACAUGAGUAUUAUUUUAAUUGGUACAAAUGUAUGUAUAUAUAUGUAUUUGUUUAUUAUUUAAGAAAUAAUAAUUAUAAUUAAAAAUAUAAUAUAAUAAUAUAAAGUAAAAUAAAUAAAAAGAAUAAAGAAAUAAAAGAAAGAAACAGAACAGAGUAGUAACGAAAAUUGAAGGAAAGAAAAAGGGAAAGAAAAGAAAAGGAAAUUUGGAGUUUUAAGUUUUAAGCUUUAAGUGGUAAGUCAAUUUAAUUUCUUUUCUUGUAAUAUUGGUGUCUAUGGAAUCCUAGGAAGAGAUACUAUUUAAGUUAUGUUAAAAUUUAGAAAGUUAUUGAAUUUUUAGAUGUUGAUUAAGUUGAAUAAAUUGAAGAAUUAUGGGUUUAAUUGAUAGGAAUUCAAGUUAGAAGUGGGAGAAGGAUUGAAUUGUAAAGAGAGAUAUAAGUUUUGUCAUAGUAGAGAUUAAAUUGUUUAAAUUGUAGAAUUGAUGUUUUAUAUUGAAUAUUAAGAGUUGGAAUGGUUUAAAGUGAUAAUUGAAUGAAAAUAUGAGAGUUAUUUGAAGAGAAAGAUUGGUUAUGGUGGAAGGACUAAAUUGGAAUUUAUGUAAAAGUUACAUGGAAAAUAGAAGAGUGUGUUAUUAAAUGAUAUGUAUUGAUGAUUUUAAAUGGUAAUUUUUCCGUAACUAACGUAGCACCAGAAACGUCAUCAAAGAAGGAAAAAGAGAAAGUGAGCGAAGAUAACGAGUAAACUCAAGAACCACGGUUUGUAUUUCUAUAACCAAACUUAAUAGUUAUUUUGAUACAUAUUAUUGAUAUUAUGUAUGGCUAUUGAAAUUAAGAUAAGUAUUGAUAUUGUAGUAUAGUGUUGAAUUAUGGAUGUCGAAACCAUCUUUCAAAAUUUUAAUUUUAACAAAAAAUAGGGGAAUCGACUGUUUGAAAAUAAAACGUGGAGUCGCCACCGAUCCUUUUGUUUUGGUGUGAUCAGAUCACCUAAGAAUUUGGUUAUUUUAAUAAAACAUUUUUGAUUUACUAAAACAACGAUUUUGGUUUACGAACUUUUGAGAAAACGGGUUCGGGAGUCGGUUACGCAUGAGGAAGGAUUAGCACCCUCACUACGCCCAAAAUUGGUACCAAAUCGAUUAAAUGCUAUCCUUAUGUAAAAUGUUUUUGAAAUAUGGUUCUUGUUAAUAACAUUUGAAUAACCCGAGUUGGUUGCCAAAAAUCUUUUUGUUUCGACGUCCGAAAGUUUAUAAUUUGAAAUUAACAAAAGGAUGCCCAACUAUUUGGUCCAACGAAAGACCGAAACCCAGCACAGUAGGGCACGAUUCCUCGAAUUUUCGAACAUCAGACAUUGCCUCACCUUAGAAAAUACGAGUGAAAUUCCGAAGAGAUAUUCGAUUAUUUUGAACAAACGGGAAAUUGCAACCCAGCACGAUAGGGUACUAUUCCCCGAAUUGCCAAGCAUCGAAUAUCGCCUUCGUUUGAAAGGGUUUUUAGAAAACGUGAGUGAAAUUUCGAAGGAAUCUUCGAUUGUUUUGAAAAAAAUGAGAAAUCACAACCCAACACGUUAGGGCACGAUUCCCGAAUUAUCAAACACCGAGUAUUGUAUUCGUUUUGGAAGGUUUUUAAUAAAUACGAGUGAAAACAUAAAGGAAUAUUCGAUUGUUUUGAACAAACGAGAAAUCACAACCUAGUACGAUAGGGCACAAUUCUUGAAUUAUCAAACACCGAGUAUUGCCUUCGUUUUAAAGAAUUUUUAAUAGUUGUGAAACUAGCUUAAAACGCAUUAAUUCGAUUUGAAAUAAGACGAAAUUAAUCAUAAAAUUUGGAUUUUAUAAAACCAUAUUUCGAAAAUCAAGCGGAAAGCGAUGAUAUUGGGUAAUAUGUGUACGCAUAAAACACGACAACGGAAGAGCGGGGGGGGGAUACAAUUUAUUUAACCAACUAACAAACAUUUACAAUUAAGUACAACUAACUUGAAAAUAUAGCUGAAUCUCAAUUAACAUGGCAAUAUAAAAUAAUGAACAAAUAAAUAAUGCAACGAUAACAUGCAUGGGUGAACAACGAUUGAUACAAUAAUACAUAAGAAGGCGAAUUUGUAACACCCCUUACCCGAGACCGUUUCCGGAGUCGAGCAAAAGGCAUUACUUAGCUUAUCUUACCAAUUCGGAGCAUAAAAACUAGGUUUGAAAAUUUAUUUCACUAUUUACAGCAAAUCUGUCCAAUCGUGCAGCAGUUGCUAAAUUAAUUAUAACUUGAGCUACAGAACUCGAAAUUUAAUUCCGUAAAUUUUCCCUGAAACUAGACUCAUAUAUCUACUCACCAUAAAAUUUUUAGAAUUUUUGGUUCAGCCAAUUAGUACAGUUUAUUAGUUAAAGUCUCCCCUGUUUCACCAUUCGACUAUUCUGACCUCUUGUUACUAAAAAUAAGUUUUCUCACUGUAGGAUUUUCAUAUGAAGUUCUUACUUGUUUCUACAGAAAAUAGACUCAUUAAGGAAUCUAAGCAUGUAAAUUUAAACUCAUAACCAUUUUUGUACAAUUUUUAAUUAUUUUCUAAACUCAGAACAGUAGACUCCAAAAACAGUUCUGACCCUAUCUUACUAAAAUUCACAUAUAUUAAAAUAUAAAUUUCCUUUUUCUACACCGUUAUUUUUCCAUGAAAAUAGACUCAACAAGAUUUAAUUCCAUAUAUCAUUCACCCUCUAAUUCAUUUUAUACUAUCUUGGGUGAUUUUUCAAAUUCACGUCACUGUGCUGCCUGAAUUCUGUUUCUUUGCAAAAUUUUAUCCUUUCAUGAUUUCCAUGCAUAAUUUAUCACCUAAUCUUUCAUAACAACAAACACCUUCAUCCUUAACCAUUUUAAUGACCAUACAUCAUCAAAUACUUACACAUCACUCAUUAGCAAAAUCAUCAUUACAAACAUACAAAAUAACUAAAUCCCUAUACAUGCCAUAACUCAAACGUGUUUCGAUAUAAAAUACCGAGCAGUUGUAGUUGAUAGUGUGGACGAUCUCCGACUUCUUUAGGAUCCUUGAAGUAGCUUUGCAAUACUAUAAGAGAAAGAGAAAUAAAAGAAGUAAGCAUAAAGCUUAGUAAGUUUACUAGCAAAUAAAUAACAAUAUUUAACUUAAAUAAUUAAACUCAAUGUCUAUAUCUCUAGUUUACUCUUUAGUUAAUCUCAUACUAGUUCUCUUACUUGUUUACUUAGAAUACUUGUGUGCAUAACUUACUCAAUCCUUGCUGCAUCGUUGAACAUCAAUUGAUAGUAUAAUAAGUUCUUAAGUCUUACAACUUACCUGAGCUUGCCAUUUAUGCUUUAAACUGAACUUUCAUGAACAUGAUUCGUUUACAAGCCCGUUGAGCUACAUUGGAAUAAUAAGGAUACUCGGGUCUCUUCUGAUAAUAACAUGCCAAAGCCAUGUCCCAGACAUGGUCUUACAUGGGAUGUUCUCGUGAUGGUGCCCAUGCCAUGUCCCAGACAUGGUCUUAUAGGGGACCUCUCAUCUCGGUGCCAACGCCAUGUCCCAGACAUGGUCUUACAUGGGACCUCUCGUCUCGGUGCCCAUGCCAUGUCCCAGACAUGGUCUUACAGGGGACCUCUCAUGAUCUUAAGGAUGCCAAUGCCAUGUCCCAGACAUGGUCUUACAUGGGAUCUCUUUACCCAAAUGUCAUGACAUUCGUAUCCAGUACCAUCCUUAUGUAUCAACGGGACUUUUAAAUUUUAAUUCUCUAUCAUUUCAUGCUUGGAUCAUCAUCAAAUAAAUUCAUAAAAUAAAUUCAUAGUUGCUGGAAAAUAACAGCAUUGAUAAUAAAUAUUGAAAUAUUGCAUUUAUUUACCGUAAACUUACCUCGGUACCAAUUAUAGCCAAAUUCACCAACUUAGUCUUCAACUUUAUUCUUCCCUUUGUCUAACCUCGAGUUUCGUACUUCUUGAUCUAAAAUAGUAAAUUUAACUUAUUUAAUAAUCACAUUCAUCAAAACAGCCCUCGACUCUAACUUUUUCAAAAUUACAAUUUUGCCCCUAAACUUUUAUAUAAUUACAUUUUUGCCCCAAGGCUCGGAAAUUAAACUUCAUCUCUUAUUCUUAUGUUUUAUAACAUUCUGAACAUUUUUCCCUUCUAUGGCAACAUCAAAUUCCCACUCUAACAUGUACUUAUGAACAUUAGGUAUUUUUACCGAUUAUGUCGUUUUACUCGUUUUCACUUAAAAUCGCUUAGCAAAAGUUUUUUAACAUAAUUUAUAGCUUCAUAUUCUAUCAUAAAACAUCAAAAUAAACACUUUUCACCUAUGGGUAUUUUUCCAAAUAUAAACCCUAGGUUAAAUUAUUGCUAGAAUAAGCUAAAUUAAGCUACCGGGAUCUCAAAAACGUAAAGAACAUUAAAAACGGGGCUUGGGAUCACUUACUAUGGAGCUUGGAAGCUUGAAAAACCUAACUAUGGCUUCCCCCCUUGCUGAUUUCGUUCAUAUGAAGAAGAUGAUGAUUUUUGCCAUCUUUUUCCCUUUUAAUUCAUUUUAAUUACUAGAUUACCAAAUUGCCCCUAACUUAAAAAUUUUCUAUUUCACUUAUCUCAUGUCCAUUUUUGUCUACCAAGUUACCAAUGGUAUAAUUACCAUAUAAGGACCUCCAAUUUAAAGUUUCAUAACAAUUGGACACCUCUAACAUGUAGAACUCAACUUUUGCACUUUUUACAAUUUAGUCCUUUUGACUAAAUUGAGUGCCCAAACGUCGAAAUUUUCGAACGAAAUUUUCAAAAAAUCAUUUUGUGAAAUUGUAGACCAUAAAAAUAUAAGAAAAAUAAAAUUUUUCUCAUCGGAUUUGUGGUUCCGAAACCACUGUUCCGAUAACCUCAAAUUUGGGCCAUUACAACUCUCCCCCCUUUUUAGGAUUUUCGUCCUCGAAAAUCUUACCAGUAAAGAGAUUCGGGUAUUGCUUCCUCAUUGUCUCUUCCGGUUCCCAUGUUGCUUCCUCAAUCCCGUGCUUUUGCCAUAGCACUUUCACCAGAUUUACCUUUUUGUUUCUAAGCUCCUUUGUUUCUCGUACUAAUACUUUAACCGGUUCUUCAUUAUAAGUCAUAUCCGGCUGAAUUUCUACUUCUGUUGGAGUAAUAACAUGUGAAGGAUUUGAUCGAUACCGUCGUAGCAUAGAUACAUGAAUUACAUUAUGAAUUUUGUCGAGUUCCGGUGGUAAAGCCAAUCGGUAAGCAACUGGUCCAAUUCUUUCUAUAAUCUCAUAUGGUCCGAUAAAUCUUGGACUCAAUUUACCCUUUCGACCGAACCGGAGAACUUUCUUCCAAGGAGACACUUUUAAGAAUACUUUAUCACCCACCUGAAAUUCAAUCUCCCUUCGUUUAAGAUCGGCGUAUGACUUUUGACGAUCGGAAGCUGCUUUUAAACUAUCCCAAAUCAGUCUUACUUUUUCUUCUGUUUCCCGAAUCAAAUCAACCCCGUGUAUCUUCUUUUCACUGAGCUCUGUCCAAUAUAAUGGUGUUCUACAUUUUCUACCAUACAAAGCUUCAUACGGAGCCAUUUUAAUACUGGACUGAUAACUGUUAUUAUAAGCAAAUUCAAUCAAAGGUAGAUACCUUUCCCAAUUACCUUGAAACUCUAAUGCACAACAUCGGAGCAUAUCUUCCAAUACCUGAAUUACACGCUCAGAUUGGCCAUCUGUCUGAGGAUGAAAUGCAGUACUGAAAUGCAACUGAGUACCCAAAGCUUCUUGCAAUUUGUUCCAGAAACGAGACGUAAAUCGGGGGUCUCUAUCUGAUAUAAUGGAGAUAGACACUCCAUGUAGUCUAACAAUCUCAGAUAUAUACAGUUCAGCUAAUUUAUCUAGAGAAUAAUCCAUACGUAUCGGGAUAAAAUGUGCUGAUUUUGUUAAUCGAUCAACGAUCACCCAAAUAGCAUCUUUCUUCUUCGGAGACAAUGGUAAUCCGGACACAAAAUCCAUAGUAAUUCUUUCCCAUUUCCAUUCUGGUAUAGUAAUUGGCUGAAGCAACCCCGAAGGUACCUGAUGUUCAGCUUUAACCUGUUGACAUACCAAACAUCUUGAUACAAAUUCAGAGAUAUCACGUUUCAUACUCGGCCACCAAUACAUCUUUUUCAAGUCAUUAUACAUUUUAUUACCUCCCGGAUGUACGGACAUAAUACCACUGUGUGCUUCGUGUAAAAUCUUCUGUACAAGUUCUGAAUUCUUCGGUACACAUACUCUGCCUCUGAAUAAUAAACAACCAUCAGUUCCAAUCUGAAAUUCUAAAUCAUUACCUGACUCACAAUGCACCCGUUUAGCCUGUAAUUUCUCAUAAUUCCUCUGAGCUUCACAUAUUUGUUGACGAAAUGUCGAUUUAGCUCUCAAUUCAGCUAUGAUUGAACCAUCAUUAGACAGUGACAACCGGGUAUUCAUAGCUCGUAAAGCAAAUAGAGAUUUUCGGCUCAAAGCAUCAGCUACCACGUUAGCCUUACCCGGAUGGUAAUCAAUAACCAAAUCAUAAUCCUUUAUCAAUUCAAGCCACCUGCGUUGUCUCAAAUUCAAAUCUUUCUGUGUCAUCAAAUAUUUCAAGCUUUUGUGAUCAGUAUAAAUAUGACACUUUUCACCAUACAAAUAAUGCCGCCAUAUUUUCAAUGCAAAUACAAUAGCAGCUAACUCGAGAUCAUGUACCGGGUAGUUUCUUUCAUGUGGCUUAAGUUGUCUUGAAGCAUAGGCUAUUACUUUAUCUUCUUGCAUCAAGACACAACCCAAACCAUUUAAUGAUGCAUCACUAUAAAUAAUAAAUUCCUUACCCGAUUCAGGCUGUACCAACACAGGUGCUUUCGUUAACAACUCCUUCAAUCGGUCGAAACUUUGCUGGCAUUUUUCUGUCCAUUCAAAUUUAACAUCUUUCUGUAAUAAACGGGUCAUUGGAGAAGCUAUCAUAGAAAACCCUUGUACAAAUCUCCGAUAAUAACCAGCUAAACCCAAGAAACUUCUAACUUCAGAUACAUUCUUCGGUGGACUCCAAUUGACAAUAGCUGAAAUUUUACUCGGAUCUACCCUGAUGCCUUCUGCGGAUACAAUAUGUCCGAGAAAACCUACCUCUCGAAGCCAAAAUUCACAUUUACUGAAUUUAGCAUAAAGUUUCUUUUCACGCAGAAUUUGCAACACUAUUUUCAAAUGUUCUGCAUGCUCAGUUUCAUCCCGAGAAUAAACUAAAAUGUCAUCAAUAAAAACUACUACAAACCUAUCUAGAUACGGUCUGAAUAUCCGGUUCAUCAAAUCCAUGAAUACUGCAGGUGCAUUAGUCAACCCAAACGGCAUAACCAGAAACUCAUAAUGCCCAUACCUGGUUCUGAAAGCUGUCUUUGGCAUAUCUGGCUCUUCUACCCGUAACUGAUAAUAACCCGAUCGGAGAUCAAUCUUUGAAAAUACUGUGGCACCUUUCAGUUGAUCAAAUAAGUCAUCAAUUCGAGGCAAUGGGUACUUAUUCUUUAUAGUUACCUUAUUAAGCUGCCGAUAGUCAAUACACAAUCUCAAAGACCCGUCUUUCUUUUUCACAAACAGAACUGGAGCACCCCAAGGUGAAUGACUCGGACGAACAAAACCUCUGUCAACAAGUUCCUGUAACUGUGCCUUUAACUCUUUUAAUUCUGUAGGAGCCAUACGAUACGGAGCUAUGGAAAUUGGGGUAGUUCCCGGAAUCAGAUCUAUAGAAAAUUCCACUUCUCUUUCUGGUGGCAACCCUGGUAAUUCCUCUGGAAACACAUCAGAAAAUUCACAUACAACUGGCACUGCCUGUAUCUUUAACUCAGAUACUUUAGUAUCCAACACAUACGCCAAAUAAACAUCAUACCCUUUUCUAAUACACCUCUGAGCUGUCAUAACUGAAAUCGUAUCGGAUAAUCCCUCUGUCUGAUUAGAUUUAACCCAAAGUAAUUCUCCAUUCUGGCAUUUCAACACAACAUAUUUUUGUCUACAGUUUACUACUGCAUCAUGCUGAGUUAACCAAUCCAUGCCCAAUAUCACAUCAAACUCAUCAAAAGGCAAUAACAUCAAGUCAACCGGGAAACAAAUACCUUUUACCAUCAAUGGACAAUUUUUACAAACUUUAUCCACUAUCACAAACUGGCCCAGGGGGUUCGAGACUUUAACCAUAAAUUCAGUAGGUUCAACAGACAAAUUUUUAACAAAUGCUAAUUUUGUGCAUAUAUAUGAAUGUGUAGAGCCAGGAUCAAUUAAUGCAAUAACAGUAGUAUCAUAGAGAGAAAAUGUACCCGCAAUUACAUCAGGAGAGGACGCCUCUUCACGAGCUCGAAUAGCAUAUGAUCUUGCAGGUGCUCUAACAUCUGAUCUAACCGCUGAAUCUUUGAAUGCACCCCUAUUACUUGCCCCCACUCCUGGGUUUCUCUGCAGUCUACCUCUGGUAGGAGCAUUACCUGAUCUCGCACUCGUUAUUUCUUCUCUUUUAGUUGUUUCAGGACAAUCCCGAAUAAAGUGAUCGGAUGCUCCACAUCUGAAACAAACAUUUUCACCUGUUCUACACUCUCCGGGGUGGCGUCUCCCACAUUGAGGACAUUCCGGUCUAGGAGGUCGAGUACUGCCAGUACUUGCAACUGUAGUGGUUUGAGCUCUAAAACCCUCGAAUCUUCUACUUCUGCUUCGGCCAGAAUAUAUAUGUGGAAAAUGUGAUCCGCUAGAGAGCUCCCUAGGCCUCUUAGAUGUAGACUGAAAUGAUUUACUCAUUUGCCUCUUCUUUGUAUCCUGCGCUCCAGCUUCAGCUUUGCUCUUCUCUUUUUCUUUUAACAAGUCUUCUACUUUACAAGCUCUUUCUACCAGAACAACAAACUCUCUGAUUUCCAAUACACCCACUGAUAGUCGGAUGUCAUCAUUAAGCCCAUAUUCAAAUCUCUUGCACAUGUUGGCUUCGGUGGAUACAAAUUCCCGAGCAUACUUACUAAGUCUGAAAAAUUCGCGUUCAUAUUCAGUCACGGACAUCUUACCUUGUUUUAGCUCAAGAAACUCCUUCCUUUUCUGAUCUAUAAAUCUCUGGCUGAUGUACUUCUUUCGAAACUCCUCCUGAAAGAAAUCCCAAGUAACCCUCUCACUCGGUACGAUAGACACGAGAGUCUUCCACCAAUGAUAAGCGGAAUCUCUGAGAAGUGAGACCACACACUUCAUACAUUCUUCCGGUGUACAAGAUAAUUCUUCAAAAACCCUGAUGGUAUUCUCAAGCCAGAAUUCUGCUUUUUCUGCAUCGUCAUCUUUGGUAGCCCGAAAUUCUUCAGCCCCUUGCUUCCUAAUCUUAUCAAUAGGUGGUCUCUCCCUGAUAAAUAUACCUGCAGCUGGGGAAGCUACAUGGGGAACCUGUGAAUCUUGAGGGGGUGGAGGUCUUACAGCCGGAUUCGUACGAACGAACUCGGCAAACCAAUCAGUCAUGGCUUGGAAGAAGGCUUCUCUAGCUCCUCCUCCCUGUCUAUCUGAUGCAGGUCUUUCACUAACAUUAACAUCUGAUGGCACCGUCCCUUCUGCGGGAAUAGGCGCAUUACUCUCUACUUCAUUUGUACUAGCUCGUUCAGGAUCCAUAACUAUAAAAGAAAACAUUUUAAAAUCGUCAGGAGUCGUCACACUAUCAAAAUAUAUAAGUAUGGCAUGUAUAGGUAGACUCUUAUUCUUACUGAGUAUUUCCGAGAACCAACUAAACCUGCUCUGAUACCAAUAAAAUGUAACACCCCUUACCCGAGACCAUUUCCGGAGUCGAGCACGAGGCAUUACUUAGCUUAUCUUACCAAUUCGGAGCAUAAAAACUAGGUUUGAAAAUUUAUUUCACUAUUUACAGCAAAUCUGUCUAAUAGCGCAGCAGUUGCUAAAUUAAUUAUAACUUGAGCUACAGAACUCGAAAUUUAAUUCCAUAAAUUUUCCCUGAAACUAGACUCAUAUAUCUACUCACCAUAAAAUUUUUAUAAUUUUUGGUUCAGCCAAUUAGUACAGUUUAUUAGUUAAAGUCUCCCCUGUUUCACCAUUCAACUAUUCUAACCUCUUGUUACUAAAAAUAAGUUUUCUCACUGUAGGAUUUUCAUAUGAAGUUCUUACUUGUUUCUACAGAAAAUAGACUCAUUAAGGAAUCUAAGCAUGUAAAUUUCAACUCAUAACCAUUUUUGUACAAUUCGUAAUUAUUUUCUAAACUCAGAACAGGGGACUCCAAAAACAGUUCUGACCCUAUCUUACUAAAAUUCACAUAUCUUAAAAUAUAAAUUUCCUUUUUCUACACCGUUAUUUUUCAAUGAAAAUAGACUCAACAAGAUUUAAUUCUAUAUAUCAUUCACCCUCUAAUUCAUUUUAUACUAUCUUGGGUGAUUUUUCAAAUUCACGUCACUGUGCUGCCUGAAUUCUGUUUCUUUGCAAAAUUUUAUCCUUUCAUGAUUUCCAUGCAUAAUUUAUCACCUAAUCUUUCAUAACAACAAACACCUUCAUCCUUAACCAUUUUAAUGACCAUACAUCAUCAAAUACUUACACAUCACUCAUUAGCAAAAUCAUCAUUACAAACAUACAAAAUAACUAAAUCCCUAUACAUGCCAUAACUCAAACGUGUUUCGAUAUAAAAUACCGAGCAGUUGUAGUUGAUAGUGUGGACGAUCUCCGACUUCUUUAGGAUCCUUGAAGUAGCUUUGCAAUACUAUAAGAGAAAGAGAAAUAAAAGAAGUAAGCAUAAAUCUUAGUAAGUUUACUAGCAAAUAAAUAACAAUAUUUAACUUAAAUAAUUAAACUCAAUGUCUAUAUCUCUAGUUUACUCUUUAGUUAAUCUCAUACUAGUUCUCUUACUUGUUUACUUAGAAUACUUGUGUGCAUAACUUACUCAACCCUUGCUGCAUCGUUGAACAUCAAUUGAUAGUAUAAUAAGUUCUUAAGUCUUACAACUUACCUGAGCUUGCCAUUUAUGCUUUAAACUGAACUUUCAUGAACAUGAUUCGUUUACAAGCCCGUUGAGCUACAUUGGAAUAAUAAGGAUACUCGGGUCUCUUCUGAUAAUAACAUGCCAAAGCCAUGUCCCAGACAUGGUCUUACAUGGGAUGUUCUCGUGAUGGUGCCCAUGCCAUGUCCCAGACAUGGUCUUAUAGGGGACCUCUCAUCUCGGUGCCAACGCCAUGUCCCAGACAUGGUCUUACAUGGGACCUCUCGUCUCGGUGCCCAUGCCAUGUCCCAGACAUGGUCUUACAGGGGACCUCUCAUGAUCUUAAGGAUGCCAAUGCCAUGUCCCAGACAUGGUCUUACAUGGGAUCUCUUUACCCAAAUGUCAUGACAUUCGUAUCCAGUACCAUCCUUAUGUAUCAACGGGACUUUUAAAUUUUAAUUCUCUAUCAUUUCAUGCUUGGAUCAUCAUCAAAUAAAUUCAUAAAAUAAAUUCAUAGUUGCUAGAAAAUAACAGCAUUGAUAAUAAAUAUUGAAAUAUUGCAUUUAUUUACCGUAAACUUACCUCGGUACCAAUUAUAGCCAAAUUCACCAACUUAGUCUUCAACUUUAUUCUUCCCUUUGUCUAACCUCGAGUUUCGUACUUCUUGAUCUAAAAUAGUAAAUUUAACUUAUUUAAUAAUCACAUUCAUCAAAACAGCCCUCGACUCUAACUUUUUCAAAAUUACAAUUUUGCCCCUAAACUUUACAUAAUUACAUUUUUGCCCCAAGGCUCGGAAAUUAAACUUCAUCUCUUAUUCUUAUGUUUUAUAACAUUCUGAACAUUUUUCCCUUCUAUGGCAACAUCAAAUUCCCACUCUAACAUGUACUUAUGAACAUUAGGUAUUUUUACCGAUUAUGUCGUUUUACUCGUUUUCACUUAAAAUCGCUUAGCAAAAGUUGUUUAACAUAAUUUAUAGCUUCAUAUUCUAUCAUAAAACAUCAAAAUAAACACUUUUCACCUAUGGGUAUUUUUCCAAAUAUAAACCCUAAGUUAAAUUAUUACUAGAAUAAGCUAAAUUAAGCUACUGGGAUCUCAAAAACGUAAAGAACAUUAAAAACGGGGCUUGGGAUCACUUACUAUGGAGCUUGGAAGCUUGAAAACCCUAACUAUGGCUUCCCCCUUGCUGAUUUCAUUCAUAUGAAGAAGAUGAUGAUUUUUGCCAUCUUUUUCCCUUUUAAUUCAUUUUAAUUACUAGAUUACCAAAUUGCCCCUAACUUAAAAAUUUUCUAUUUCACUUAUCUCAUGUCCAUUUUUGUCUACCAAGUUACCAAUGGUAUAAUUACCAUAUAAGGACCUCCAAUUUAAAGUUUCAUAACAAUUGGACACCUCUAACAUGUAGAACUCAACUUUUGCACUUUUUACAAUUUAGUCCUUUUGACUAAAUUGAGUGCCCAAACGUCGAAAUUUUCGAACGAAAUUUUCAAAAAAUCAUUUUGUGAAAUUGUAGACCAUAAAAAUAUAAGAAAAAUAAAAUUUUUCUCAUCGGAUUUGUGGUUCCGAAACCACUGUUCUGAUAACCUCAAAUUUGGGCCAUUACAGAAUUAAUAAUGUGCAACCAAUAGACAUGAAAUAACAUAAAAACAAUUACCAUAUAAUGUACCAAACAAAAUAAAACUAAUAUGAUGCAAAACAAUAAAAAAUGAUGAAUCGAUGAACGAAUACUACAUGCUUGAAUUUGAAAUAAUUUACAUGGAUAAAAAUACUAUAUAAAUAAUUAUUAAUAUAAAAAAGAUUUUGAAUCGAAUAACAUGCAAGAUAAUACAUCUAUCUUAAGUUGACAAUAUUCAUACAAAAUAAAAGAAAACUUAAAUAAUAUACAAAACAUGAAAGGUUCUUAAAUAACAAAAGAAUAUAUAAUAAAGUAUGUUCUUGUGUAAUGAACUAUAAAAAUUUUCUUAAUAUAUAUAUAUGUAUAUAUAGAAAUAUUGAUUUAAAAGGAAAUGUACAUUGAAAUAGAUUUAAAGGAAAAUACAUAAAACAAUAGAAGAUCAACAAUGCAUGUAAAAACACAAUGUUCAACCAUUCAAAACUGAUAAUAUAAGAAACAUUUACGUAUAUAUAAGUAUGAAAACAAAUUUAUAACAAAACAAUAUAAAUAAUAUACAAAACAACAUGGAAACAAUUUGAAAACUAUUUAAUAUGAAAAAUUACAAAUGAGCAACAUAUGAGAGGGUUUGAAAUGAUUUGCAUAUAUAAAAAUAAAACUAAUAAAUAAUAUUACAAGUGAAAGAAGAGAUUUGGAACAAAUGACAUGCAAAAAUAUUUUAAAAAAACAUAUCUAUUUAAUGGUGAUGAUAUACAUACAAUAAUGAAAAGACAAUGUAAACAAUAUAAUGAAGAUAUAAUAAAAAUAAAGAAAUGACAACAUAUAUGACAGAAUGACAAAUUAAUAUAGAGUAUAACAAUACAUAUAUAUGAAAUAAUCUUAAAUAACAAGAAAGUAAUAAAACAUAUUUUUUCAAAGAAUAAACUAGAUACGAAAUAAAUUUGAAGGGAAAUACCAAUAAACAGAUUUAAAAGAAGUUAUAUGUGUAAAAUAACGUGAAACUAAUAAUGUGUAUAAAAGAAAACUAAUUUUGUCAUAAAUCAUAUAUGUAUUAAUAUAAGUUAAAUAUAAAUUAAAUAUUAUACAAAAUUUUGACAACAACAUGAUAUACAAAGUAAUUUUAAGAUAAUAGUUUUAUAAAAAAAGAGUGAAUUGUUAAAGUAAUUUAAAAUGUAUAUAAAAAUAAAAUAAGUGCUAAACGAAUUAAAAAGAUAAUGAACUACACAAAUUAAAAGGACUCAAUUAAAAUGAAAGAUAAACUAAAAGGAUAUUUAAUAAAUAAAAUACACUGCUGAAAUAAAAGGAAGGACUAAAUUGAAAUCAAAAUGGAACUAAAAGUAUAAAGUUCAAAUAUUAAAAUCGCAUAAGGAUUCCAAUGGAAUGCGCAUAAAGGGAAGGACUGAUAUUGCAAAUUCCCCAUUCGAGGCACAGAGGCACGGAUCCGGGUCCUGGGACGGGUCGACGCGCGGAGCUCCAACAUCUAAACGACGCCGUUUUUGGAGCCACUGAAUCAGGCCCAAAACGACGCCGUAUUCAGACCUUUAAAAGACCCUAAAUUUGGCUAUUCAGCCAUUUCAAAACCCUAGCCCCCAUUUUGUUUUUUUUUUAGCCGGCCUUUAGCCAAAUCAUUUGGCCCUCACCCCCAUCGUCCCCAACCACAAGCGUAUUUGCCUUUUGAAGACGAUUUUCGGCCUCAAGAUUCCUCCUCCACCUUCAACUUCGACGAGGCAAGGAAGAACCAACGGAGGAUUUGCGAGGUAAGGUUUCGUUUCACUCUUUUCUUUUCUUUUUUUAUUGUUUUAGAUGUGAAAAAUGAAAAAAAAAGUCGAAAGGAAUAGAUCCAGAUAAAAAACGCAACAAAUCCGGAGAUUCAAAGAAAGGAAAAUCACCUUCCUCUAUUUUUCUUGCUUUGUAGUCAAUAUCUGUAUGCGUAAAUAUGCGUUCGUAACCUUUACAAAGACUAAAAGUUGGGCUUUUAUAGCCGAAAGAAAAGAAAAAUAAACCGAAAAUAUACAAUAUGUCUUUGUUUCUAUUCGCUGCUGUUUUUGUUUCCUUCUUGUAGGUACGGGUGCGCGUUCGUGUACGGAGGUCAUGCUGGUGCUUGGCGUGAGGAGUAUGGAGGCGUGCUGGCGCUUGGCGUGAGGAGUACGGUGAAGGCGUAGGGAGGUUGCUGUUGCGGCGCAGGAGAAAGAAAGAAACUCUAGGGUUUCUAAAAUUUCUAGGCCAUUUGGGCUCAUUUCGGGUAUUGGGUCAGUCCUUAGGCCGUGGGGUUUUAGUUAUUGGGUCUAGGGUAUGUAUUGGGCCAAAGUCUGUAAAUAGACAUUUAAUAGACUAUAUAUUAUUUUUUGUUUUGGGAUUAUUCUUUGGUUGUUGGGCCCGAGCGAAUUUGGCCCAUUACAGCUUCCCCUCUUUGCUCAUUGUCGUGUAACGAGAAUGGAGCAAAGACUAAAAAAAGGGCCAAAUUUGCCGGGGCCUGACGAGUCUCAACUUCUCUUGGCGCUUCUUUUCUUCAAGUAGCCUCUUUCUAACCCACUGCAUCUUCAGAGGUAAAGGGACUGUUGCUUUGAUCUACUCCACUGCGACUGCUUGUAGCUUUAAGCUAUUCCACUGCAACUUUAGAGAGUUGAGGUUUGUGGCUUUAAUAUGUUCUUCUGCAAUUAUAGCUUGAUCUGCUCCAUUGCAACAAGGUUUGUAAUCUUCAGCCUACUCCACUACAACUUUAGGGAGCUAGGACUUGCUUAAAUCUGCUUCACUGCAUCUUCAGGAAGCCAAGAUUCGUCAUUUUCGAUUUGCCCCACUGCAACUUUAGGGAGACAAGAUCUACAAUAUUCAGCCUACUCCGCUACAAUUUUAGGGAGCUAGGACUAGCUUAAAUCUGCUUCACUGCAUCGUCAGGAAGCCAAGAUUCGUCAUCUUCGAUUUGCCCCACUACAACUUCAGGGAGACAAGAUCUACAAUAUUCAGCCUACUCCACUACAAUUUUAGAGAGCUAGGACUAGCUUAAAUUUGCUUCACUGCAACUUCAGGAAGCCAAGAUUCGUCGUCUUCGAUUUGCCCCACUCCAACUUCAGGGAGACAAGAUCUACAAUCUUCAGCCUACUCCACUACAACUUUAGGGAGCUAGGACUUGCUUAAAUCUGCUUCACUGCAUCUUCAGGAAGCCAAGAUUCGUCGUCUUCGAUUUGCCCCACUGCAACUUCAAGGAGACAAGAUCUACAUUCUGUUUCAUAGGCUUAUGCUUAUGCCGAAUAAUUAGGAUGCUAUGAUCAACAUGAAUCAAUUGUUCCUAACUAGAUGUGAUGUUUAUGUCAAAUAAUUAGAAUGUUAUGAUCGAAAUGAAUCAAAUGUUCCUAACUAGAUGUGAUGUUUAUGUCAAAUAAUUAGAAUGAUAUGAUCGAAAUGAAACAAAUGCUCCUAACUAGAUGUGUUAUGAAUGAUAUAUGAAUGCGGAAAUGAAAAUGAUCUAAGUAUCAUUGCUCGUUCAUCAGGACAUUAUCACUGACGUAUUAUGCGGCCAUCUUGUUCAGCUGGUAUUCUUGACAGAAAACAAUCUCAAUCUGCUCGGCAAGCUUGCCCUACUGAAACUUUAUGGAGUUUUUGCUUAUCCAACCCACUGCAACUCAGGGUAUAGGAUCAAUCAUUCUUCGGGUGUAAUGACCUUGUGUGCAUGUCUGAUAUUUGCGUGAAUGCAGAAUAUCAUUUUUCUUUUCCUGAGAAUGAUUCCCUCUUAUACUUGGAUUGACAUUGCUCGUCAUUUUUCGAGGUUGUAUCACCGACGAAAUAUCUUGCCUCUUCGUUAAUCAAUACUUUUGAUAGAAUAUUCAAAGAGAUAGCCACAAUUUGGACUCCUUCUUUCUCAAACUUUUCCAUCCCUUAGGUUUGGUGAGUUCCAAACAAUAGUCAUGUUUCAGGUUCUUAUACUAUUUAGAAGCCUCCCGAGUAAUAUGCAGAACUUCUUUUUAUGAAAGUAUUAUUGGUCUAUUAAUCGUUAUUUCAAUGCAAAAUGCUCGAGAAAGAUCAAAACAAUAGACAAGAAGGAAAUUGGGUAAGAGCACAGCUCGAAACAAAUAAGUUAAUCAAAGAUUGCAAAUAUAAUAGGAAGGCAAUUAACUCAACAUGAAUAAGUUAAUCAGAGAUAGCAAUGCAAUAAGAAGGAAGUUUAUUUGGAGCAUAUUUUGAAACGAAUAUAGUAAUCAAAGAUAGUAAAUUCAGUGUGGGUAAGAUGAAAACUAGGUGCCCCAGAUAUCUUAGCCCGAGCUUCUCUGUACAAACUUCUUGAGGUCCAUUUUGAGCUCAAUAUGUAUUUAGGGGAUCCGGAGUACUUUGUCGAUACCCCGAUACAUAGCAUACUUCUUCAUUGUUAAUUCAGGCGUAGCAAGACUACUGUAUGCCCCACCUUGAUUCAAAUUUGAGCCGCCCUUUUCGGGUUUUCAACUCAAAUCCCUUUUGGUCUCAAUGCGCCCUUUGCGGGUUUUCGCCUUAGCCUCUCAUUUUCUUUUCUUUUCUUCUUUUCUCUUUUUUUUUAAGGUCUCAAAGUGUCUUUUGCAGGUUUUCACCUUGGCCUUUCACUUUCCUCUGAAGUUUUUAUCUUUUUCAACGCCAGGUCCCCCUCGUGGGAUUCUCUAGGAUGAACCUUUCUGACGUAAGCUUACAUCAUUCAUUUCUGGUACAUUGGGCCAUGACAGAUGGCUUUCAACCUCCUUUCUUCAAAUUCAACUAACCAUAUCGGGAUUGGAUCUAUUCUGCCAAGACUUGGCCAAAAAAAAUCUCGUUUUCAAAACCGUUUCUAUCCCAUUAAGCAGACAAAAAAUGUAUUGCCCUGGCGAAGGUUCUGGCCGACGUUCAAUAAGUAUAGAGGGUAAAUGGUAACUUCUUUAUGCCAAUCUUUACAAGCCUCGAUUAUCUUCUACGAUUUUUGCUGCAUCAUAAUACGGCGUCUGAUCUUUGAACAGAUUGCCAACUUCUGACAUUGAAUCUUUCUGAUGUUUUUUAUCGACACCUAAUCUCUCUCUUUUUUUUUAAGUUCGAUGACUAUCGACUUAGUAACAUUGGCAUAUGAAAUGACUUUCACCCAUUCUAUGAAGAAAUCGAUAAUCUCAAAGAUGAAUCGGUAUCGAUUAGAAGCUUUUGACGGAAUCAGCCUCAUAAUAUCCAUGCCUUACAUAUAGAAAAUCUUGUGAAAGAAAUGGGGAGGCCUAAAAGUCUUGUCUUCUUUCAUUUGGCAUUUGCAGCUUGACUGAUACAAUCCUCUUCCAUGUUGGAUCAGCAGCGCUCGAACCUCAUGAUUAGCCUGGCUAACGUAAGACCAUUAGCAUGUGUUCUCCUGAUAUUCAUAUGGACCUUUUUUUAGCAUCCACAGGCCUUAGUAGCCCAAGCAUAUCUUAAUACGAUCAUGUGAAAAUAUCUUAGUAUUCUUGACAUCUCGCUUUGUCUCUAUGGUGCUAUACACUAUAAUUUUUAUCUCUUUCUCUUCUCUCAGGUUCGCAACGUCCAUUGCCCCUUUGUAAGGUAGGAUCUAUUUCUCAUCUUGUUCUACCAUCCUUGACAAAUCGGGAGAUAGGCUACAAUCUCUAUCAUCUUCAAGGUCCUGAGAUCCCUCUAGAUACAUAUCUUGCUCAAAACGAUACUCGGAAUUAGUGCCAGCGUCGCUCACAUCAUUUAUAUCUGUAGACCUGUUGUAGGUAUGAAGGCUGGGCCAAAGAAUAAAUGAUUCUAAGGAUGAUUAUUUGUAUGAUAUGAUCAUGAAUGAAAGAAUCUAAGAAUAAUCAUUUGUACAAUAUGAAAUGGAAUUUAUGCAAAAGUUACAUGGAAAAUAGAAGAGUGUGUUAUUAAAUGAUAUGUAUUAAUGAUUUUAAAUGGUAAUUUUUUCGUAACUAACGUAGCACCAGAAACGUCAUCAAAGAAGGAAAAAGAGAAAGUGAGCGAAGAUAACGAGUAAAUUCAAGAACCACAGUUUGUAUUUCUAUAACCAAACUUAAUAGUUAUUUUGAUACAUAUUAUUGAUAUUAUGUAUUGCUAUUGAAAUUAAGAUAAGUAUUGAUAUUGUAGUAUAGUGUUGAAUUAUGAAUGUCGAAACCAUCUUUCGAAAUUUUAAUUUUAACAAAAAAUAGGGGAAUCGACUGUUUGAAAAUAAAACGUGGAGUCGCCACCGAUCCUUUUAUUUUGGUGUGAUCGGAUCACCUAAGAAUUUGGUUAUUUUAAUAAAACAUUUUUGAUUUACUAAAACAACGAUUUUGGUUUACGAACUUUUGAGAAAACGGGUUCGGGAGUCGGUUACGCAUGAGGAAGGAUUAGCACCCUCACUACGCCCAAAAUUGGUACCAAAUCGAUUAAAUGCUAUCCUUAUGUAAAAUGUUUUUGAAAUAUGGUUCUUGUUAAUAACAUUUGAAUAACCCGAGUUGGUUGCCAAAAAUCUUCUUGUUUCGAUAUCCGAAAGUUUAUAAUUUGAAAUUAACAAAAGGAUGCCCAACUAUUUGGUCCAACGAAAGACCGAAACCCAGCACAGUAGGGCACGAUUCCUCGAAUUUUCGAACAUCAGACAUUGCCUCACCUUAGAAAAUACGAGUGAAAUUCCGAAGAGAUAUUCGAUUAUUUUGAACAAACGGGAAAUUGCAACCCAGCACGAUAGGGUACUAUUCCCCGAAUUGCCAAGCAUCGAAUAUCGCCUUCGUUUUAAAGGGUUUUUAGAAAACGUGAGUAAAAUUUCGAAGGAAUCUUCGAUUGUUUUGAAAAAAAUGAGAAAUCACAACCCAACACGUUAGGGCACGAUUCCCGAAUUAUCAAACACCGAAUAUUGUUUUCGUUUUGGAAUGUUUUUAAUAAACACGAGUGAAAACCUAAAGGAAUAUUCGAUUGUUUUGAACAAACGAGAAAUCACAACCUAGUACAAUAGGGCACGAUUCUCGAAUUAUCAAACACCGAGUAUUGCCUUCGUUUUAAAGAAUUUUUAAUAGUUGUGAAACUAGCUUAAAACACAUUAAUUCGAUUUGAUAAGAUGAAAUUAAUCAUAAAAUUUGGAUUUUAUAAAACCACAUUUCGAAAAUCAAGCGGAAAGCGAUGAUAUUGGGUAAUAUGUGUACGCAUAAAACACGACAAUGGAAGAGUGGGGGGGAUACAAUUUAUUUAACCAACUAACAAACAUUUACAAUUAAGUACAACUAACUUGAAAAUAUAGCUGAAUCUCAAUCAUGAAUGGAGAAUAAUUAACAUGGCAAUAUAAAAUAAUGAACAAAUAAAUAAUGCAACGAUAACAUGCAUGGGUGAACAACGAUUGAUACGAUAAUACAUAAGAAGGCGAAUUAAUAAUGUGCAACCAAUAGACAUGAAAUAACAUAAAAACAAUUACCAUAUAAUGUACCAAACAAAAUAAAACUAAUAUGAUGCAAAAAAAUAAAAAAUGAUGAAUCGAUGAACGAAUACUACAUGCUUGAAUUUGAAAUAAUUUACAUGGAUAAAAAUACUAUAUAAAUAAUUAUUAAUAUAAAAAAGAUUUUGAAUCGAAUAACAUGCAAGAUAAUACAUCUAUCUUAAGUUGACAAUAUUCAUACAAAAUAAAAGAAAACUUAAAUAAUAUACAAAACAUGAAAGGUUCUUAAAUAACAAAAGAAUAUAUAAUAAAGUAUGUUCUUGUGUAAUGAACUAUAAAAAUUUUCUUAAUAUAUAUAUAUAUGUAUAUAUAGAAAUAUUGAUUUAAAAGGAAAUGUACAUUGAAAUAGAUUUAAAGGAAAAUACAUAAAACAAUAGAAGAUCAACAAUGCAUGUAAAAACACAAUGUUCAACCAUUCAAAACUGAUAAUAUAAGAAACAUUUACGUAUAUAUAAGUAUGAAAACAAAUUUAUAACAAAACAAUAUAAAUAAUAUACAAAACAACAUGGAAACAAUUUGAAAACUAUUUAAUAUGAAAAAUUACAAAUGAGCAACAUAUGAGAGGGUUUGAAAUGAUUUGCAUAUAUAAAAAUAAAACUAAUAAAUAAUAUUACAAGUGAAAGAAGAGAUUUGGAACAAAUGACAUGCAAAAAUAUUUUAAAAAAACAUAUCUAUUUAAUGGUGAUGAUAUACAUACAAUAAUGAAAAGACAAUGUAAACAAUAUAAUGAAGAUAUAAUAAAAAUAAAGAAAUGACAACAUAUAUGACAGAAUGACAAAUUAAUAUAGAGUAUAACAAUACAUAUAUAUGAAAUAAUCUUAAAUAACAAGAAAGUAAUAAAACAUAUUUUUUCAAAGAAUAAACUAGAUACGAAAUAAAUUUGAAGGGAAAUACAAAUAAACAGAUUUAAAAGAAGUUAUAAGGGUAAAAUAACGUGAAACUAAUAAUGUGUAUAAAAGAAAACUAAUUUUGUCAUAAAUCAUAUAUGUAUUAAUAUAAGUUAAAUAUAAAUUAAAUAUUAUACAAAAUUUUGACAACAACAUGAUAUACAAAGUAAUUUUAAGAUAAUAGUUUUAUAAAAAAAGAGUGAAUUGUCAAAGUAACUUAAAAUGUAUAUAAAAAUAAAAUAAGUGCUAAACGAAUUAAAAAGAUAAUGAACUACACAAAUUAAAAGGACUCAAUUAAAAUGAAAAAAUAAACUAAAAGGGUAUUUAAUAAAUAAAAUACACUGCUGAAAUAAAAGGAAGGACUAAAUUGAAAUCAAAACGGAACUAAAAGUAUAAAGUUCAAAUAUUAAAAUCGCAUAAGGAUUCCAAUGGAAUGCGCGCACAAAGGGAAUGACUGAUAUUGCAAAUUCCCCAUUCGAGGCACAGAGGCGCGGAUCCGGGUCCUGGGACCGGUCGACGCGCGGAGCUCCAACAUCUAAACGACGCCGUUUUUGGAGCCACUGAAUCAGGCCCAAAACGACGCCGUAUUCAGACCUUUAAAAGACCCGAAAUUUGGUUAUUCAGCCAUUUCAAAACCUUAGCCCCCAUUUUGUUUUUUUUAGGCGGCCUUUAGCCAAAUCAUUUGGCCCUCACCCCCAUCGUCCCCAACCACAGGCGUAUUCGCCUUUUGAAGACGAUUUUUGGCCUCAAGAUUCCUCCUCCACCUUCAACUUCGACGAGGCAAGGAAGAACCAACGGAGGAUUUGCGAGGUAAGGUUUCGUUUCACUCUUUUCUUUUCUUUUUUUAUUAUUUUGAUGCGAAAAAUGAAAAAAAAAGUCGAAAUGAAUAGAUCCAGAGAAAAAUGCAACAAAUUCGGAGAUUCAAAGAAAGGAAAAUCACCUUCCUCUGUUUUUCUUGCUUUGUAUUCAAUAUCUGUAUGCGUAAAUGUGCGUUCGUAACCUUUACAAGGACUAAAAGUUGGCUUUUAUAGCCGAAAGAAAAGAAAAAUAAACCGAAAAUAUACAAUAUGUCUUUGUUUCUAUUCGCUGCUGUUUUUGUUUCCUUCUUGUAGGUACGGGUGCGCGUUCGUUUACGGGUGUCAUGCUGGCGCUUGGCGUGAGGAGUAUGGAGGCGUGCUGGCGCUUGGCGUGAGGAGUACGGAGGCGAAGGCGUAGGGAGGUUGCUGUUGCGGCGCAGGAGAAAGAAAGGAACCCUAGGGUUUCUAAAAUUUCUGGGCCAUUUGGGCUCAUUUCGAGUAUUGGGUCAGUCCUUGGGCCGUGGGGUUUUAGUUAUUGGGUCUAGGGUAUGUAUUGGGCCAAAGUCUGUAAAUAGACAUUUAAUUGACUAUAUAUUAUUUUUUGUUUUGGGAUUAUUCUUUGGUUGUUGGGCCCGAGCGGAUUUGGCCCAUUACAAUGUAUAUUUGAAUUGAAAUGUAUAUUGGUUGAUGAUGAAGAAUUGAAAGUGAAAUGAAAGCCCUAUUAACAGUGUCGGGCUAGUCGGAUAUAGUUGGCAUGUCAUAGGAUUGGAAGUGUUCAAGGAUAUUCGACUUUGUGUCGAUAAGGCACCUUGUGUGCCAUACUGUUACUGUUACUAUUCCAGAUUCGUUCUGAUGAGGUACUCUGUGUACCGAUACUGUUACUGUUACUGAUACUGUUACGGUGUAUUCCGGCUUCGGUCGAUGAAACACUGUAUACUAUCCCGAUGUGUGGGUUGGAUCCUUAUAUCCGUCCAUGUCCGGAUUAUGUUAAUAGGGUAAAUUACUGUACUGAACAUAGAAAGAUACUGUUGUUACUAUAUUUUCUUAUUGAAUAUGAUUUUAUUGAUAAGUAUUACUAUGAUAUAAGGAUAAUUGAAUGAUAAUUUAUAAAGUUUUUAUUGUUAGAAUUUAUGGUUAUAUUUUAAAUGCAUAUUAAGUAUUGGUUUACAGAAAUACCACUGAGUGUAUACUCAGCGUACGGUUUGUUUUCGUACGCAGAUUAGGUACAAAGUGGCUAUCGUCUCAGCAUCUAAGCCAACUCCCGAACUCAAAUAUUUGGUGAUGUAUCUUAUCCUUAGGAAUGGCAUGUACCUAGGUUGUCUUUGAUAUUAUUUUGAAUAUAAGAGAAGUUAGUGAGGAAUGUUAAUAGCUAGCUCAUAGAUGUAAAGUGAAUGAUAUAACAUAGUUCAUUUUGAACUAAUUUGAAUGGUUCUUAAGUAUAAAUUUGAAGUUGCUUUGUUUAACGGUCGAUAAUAUACUAAUGUUAGAUUGUUAUAUUAGUAUAAUAAAUGUGUAUUAAAUAUGUUUAAUCAUGUUUUGAACUGGUUGAAAGAUUAUAUUUAAAUUUGCUUGUUAUUCAAGGUUUGCAGGGUUGGAAAACUUGAACUAUAAGGUUCAUUUUGAGUCCACACAACUUGUCACAUGGGCGUGUGAUCAAACAGUGUAAAACACACGACUUAAACACAGACAUGUUGAUAGGCCGUGUGUCCCCUGUACCUAAACCUUGUAAAACAGAAUACCACACGGGCUGAGCACACGGGCGUGUGACUUGACCGUGUGAAAUUAGUUUGUUCAUAAGUAAUAAGGCAGUGUUGUACGUGGGUAAAGGACACGGGCAUGUCCAAGCCGUAUGAGUCACACGGAGUGACAGCAUGGGCAUGUUAUGGAGACACGGGAAUGCCUCCUAGGCCACACGUGCGUGUGGUACUAUUCAUUAAAGGAAAUUUUAAGAACAUUAUGAAAAAUUUUAUAAGCUUCCGAUUGAGUUCCUGUAACAGCCUAAUUUUCAGUGGUAUCGGGAAUAGAGAUUUGAGAUCACUAAAUCCGACGGGUGAGUUGAAAAUUUAAUAAAUUAAUACCUAUGAGUCAAAUGUGAAUAUAAAAGCAUUUUUGAAUUAGUGAAUUUGGUGAUUUAAAAGAAUUAAUUAGGUAAAUUGGGUCGAGAAUGAGGUAUCGAGAUCUCGAAUUCAUAAAUUGAGCCAUAAAUAUUUUUAGAAAUAUUUAUGGAGUGUUGGUGAGGUAGUAAUAAAAUUUAGUCAGAAAAUUUUGACGUUUGGAUGGUUAAUUAAAUAAAAAGGACUAAAUUGAAAAGGGUGUAAAAGUUGCUAAAAGGAUUAAAUAGCUCAAUUGUCAAAUGAGGAGAUAUUUUGGGCGGCAAUUGCUGAGAAAAAUCAGGAAAUGGGUGAGAUAAGGGCAAAAUUGGAAAAUUGCCAAAAUUGGCUAAAUAAAAAUGGGACUAAAUUGGAAUAUCUAGAAUUCUCUUUAUUUCUCCUCAUAUUCAUCAGUUGAAAAACAGCCAUGGAGGAGGGUUCAAGCUGGUUUUCAUACUCUAGCUUCAUGUAAGUUUAAUUCUUGCUUUCUCCUUGAAAUUUUUAUGUUUUUGUACUUUUACAAUUGGGUCCAACUUACUAUUUCAUUAGUUUUUGAUUUCAUGUCUAAUUUUUGAAGUUUUUAUGGAUGAGUACUGGAAGUAUAUGAUGAUUUUGCAUGUAAUUAGAGUUUUAAAUUGUUUAUAUUCUGAUUUUAUUGAAAGAAUUGAAUAGAAAGUGAAUGUUUGGGACCUAAUUGUAAAAGAGUUUGAAGUUAGAGUUUUAUGUGAAAAUUAUGAAUUUAAAUAGUUAUGAAAUAACUUAUAAUGUCUAGAAAAAGUAUUAAUUGAUAAAAUUAUCUUAAUUGAGGGGUUAAUUGAGCAAGGACUGAAUUGUAUGAAUUGUGAAAUUUGGGGUAAAAUGGAAAUCAACAUUUUGCACUAAAACUGUUUUGGGCAGCAGCAGUAGUUUAACUUUGAAAAAUCACCAAAAAUUUUAGAAAUCGAAUUAGAGGAUGAAUAAAAUAUGAAAUUAAAUCUUAUUGAGUCUAUUUUCUUAUAAAAGAAAUUAUGUAAGCAAUGGAAUUGUAAAUCAUGAGAUACAAUAACUUUUGUGAGACAAGGUCAGAAUGAUUUCGGGUUCCCCUGUUCUGAAUUUGGAAAAUCAUAAAAAAUUGGAUAAAAAUAAUUAGAGGCUUAAAUUUAUAUGUUUAGAAUCCUGAAUGAGUCUAUUUUCAAGAGAAACAACGAGGACAUCAUUCGAAUCUUGUACGAGAAGAUAAUUAAUUUUUAGUGAAGAAGGGUCGGAACUGUCAAACAGCAGAACAGGGGAGACUUCAAUGAAUAAAUUGUAUUAAUUGGCCCAACCAAAAAUUAUGAAAUUUUUAUGGUAAGAAUACAUAUGAGUCUAAUUUCUGAGAAAAUUUAUGGAUCUUAAUUUUGAGUUCUGUAGCUCAAGAUAAAAAUAAUUUAGUGACUAUGACACAGAUGGACAGCUUGAAUAUUCACAUAAGUAGAUAGUGAAAAUUAUGGAUAAUGUUACCUACAAGUGUGUUGUUUAUACUAAGGAUUUGGAUGGAGAGGAGGAGGAGGAAAAUAUACAAAAAUAUAUGAAUGAAUCGUGUAUAAAUUAAUCACAUGCCCGAUUAUAAUUGAUAAGUGUUGGAUUAGAAAUGAUAUAAUGUUUUAUUUGGAAUAUUUAUUAUGAAAUUAUGAUUAUCGUUAUAAUACAAAAAUUGAACUUGUGAGUUUAUAUGGCUAAAUUUUAGGGAUUAUUUGUUAAUUUUAUGAAUUUCAUGAUGUGUUAUUUUAUAUGUAUUGAUGAUAAAAUCGUUAUAAUGUAAAAGCAUGAAAAUUGAAUAAAUGAUCAAAUUGAGCAUUUCAGUUCAGUGACAAGAUGAAUUGAAGGAAAAGACCAUGGUUGGACCAUGGCAACAAGUGAUAAGUGAUAGCUUCGGCUACACUUAUCUGAUCAAUGACAAAUGACAAGUGAAAAGUUGUAGCUUCAGCUACCUGAUCAGUGAAAAGUGGUAGCUUCAGCUACCUGAUCAGUGAAAAGUGGUAGCUCCUGCUACCUAAUUAGUGAAAAGUGGUAGCUCCGGCUACCUGAUCAGUGAAAAGUGGUAGCUCCGGCUACCUGAUCAAUGAAAAAUGGUAGCUCCGGCUACUUGAUCAGUGAAUAGUGGUAGCUUCGGCUACAAGUGACAAGUGACAAGUGAUUUCCGUAUAAGACCAUAUCUGGGAUAUGGCAUCUGUGUGAUAUAUGCUACUGUAUAAGACCAUAUCUGGGAUAUGGCAUCAGUGAGAUAUGUGAUUCGUGGAAGACCAUAGUUGGGCUAUGGCAUCGAUAUAUGAAUAUGUGUAAGACCAUAGCUAGGCUAUGGCAUCAUUAUGUGAAGAUGUGUAAGACCAUAGUUGAACUAUGGCAUCGAGAAAACGAAGUACUCAAUUCCGUAAGACGUUCACUAAUUUGACAAAGUUUGGUAAGUGUUACAUGGAAUUAUGUGAUACAAGGAAGUACGAGUUGAUAAGAUACGAGUAUAAAACUUGUUUGAUAAAUGAACUCAUUUGUGAUUAUAUAAUUGUUCAUCUUGAAUGUACUGUCCAUAUGUAUUGAUAAUUCAAAUGUUUUAAUGAAUAAAAUUCCGAUAUGGAAUAAAUUGAACACGAGACAAAUAAUUAUGAAAUUGAACUUGGAAUUCAUGAAAAUGACGGUUAUUGAUAUAUGGAGACAUGAGACAUUGAUAUAUGAAUAUGGAAAAUGUUUGAUAAAUGUUUUUUUUCAUAAUUAUAGAAUUAUAUACCUCAUGUGUACUAUUUGCAUAAAGAUGAUAUUUCAAAUACUUUGGUUAUUUAAGCUUAAAUAUGAAAUAGUAUGAAAUCAAGCUAAGUUGUUAUGAAAAUAUAUUUAGAUUACAGAGAUAUGGCUGAUAUAUGUUAUAUGGUUACAUAACGUGAAAUUGUGUAUAUAUAUGAGAAAUUUAAUGAGAAUUAAGCCCAUACACGUUUCUUGUUAUUUAUAUGAAGUGUACAACUGACAAGGGUGAUGAAGUUAUAAACAGAGGGUUACACGGGUUGAAAACACGAGCGUGUGACUCUCCAAAGUGUGCAAAUUUUUUUAAGUGUUGCAAAAGUUUCAUAUGUUUACGGUUUGGUCCCGAACCACCCUGAAUGUAUGUUUUGGGCCUCGUAGGCCCAUAUAAGGGACGUUAAACAUAUGUAUGAAAGUUUUUAAUUUAGAAGAAAUUUUAUGGCUGAUUUUUUUACAUGAUUGAUCAUAUUAAGUUCGGUAAUGCCUCGUACCCUAUUCUAGGCUCGGAAUAUGUGUAGGGGGUGUUACAGUUCUGAUUUAUGUUUAUCUUCUAUCUCGGGUCUCGAGGCCCAUUAAAGGAACAAUAAGAAGACUUUAUGAACUGUGUAAUAAUUAUUUAUGUUUUAAUUGUAAUCGAAUUGUAAUGACCGGUAAUACUCCAUAAUUCUGUUUCGGUGACGUGAUAGGGUUGGGGGUGUUACAAAGUAUUUAUUGUGUAAAAUAAAAAUUGAAAGACAUAAUCCAUCACAAGGUUCAUCUCCCUAGGUAUUUAGAAAAUUAGUUUAUGCUUGAAAAUAAAAUCAUCCCAGAUACAGUAUAACCAAAAGAAAUAAAGAAACUCAUGACAAUUUCCUAAGAAAUCAAUGUGAAUCUUCAAUCUUGACAGAAAUCUGCUUCAAAAUCAAUUUUACUGGUGUUUUAUCUAGUGGUUUUCUUGAAUAUUCUCUAACAACUCACUCCUUUCUUCUUAUUUUUGUCAUAUAUACGUCUUAAAAUGCCCAAAAAACCUAAAAAUCGUGAUUUUUCACAGUUCGAUGUGUAAUCUCGUGAAAAUUGACAUGGCCUACCAUAUACCCGUGUGGGUCACAUGGCAAACUCUCAAAAGUUUAUAAUUAUCACAAAAAUUCUCUAAGGCGCAAAAAAAAACUGAAGCAAACUCUCAAACGAAAAAGGAAAAAACAAAUAGAAAAGCCACAAGAAAACUAAGCAUAUCAAGAUGAGAGUCCUAAGGGAUUUAAACUCUAUAGAAUCUUAUCCAUUAGGAUUACAAAAUAUUUACCUUGGUAACUUUAGUUUUACUAGAGUGCUCCACACGGCGACCAAGACUUCAAGUAGAUGGGCUUAUCCAUAUGUUCUACAAAUCGGACCAGUUUAAGUGGGUCAAAUGAACCCCAUUUAAUCAAUUGACCUCUAUGUGAUGCUUUGUAUACAUUCAUUAUAGGCUUUGAUCUGCAGCUCAUGACACAUGAACACAAACAAAUUAAAUUAUAAAUUACUGCCCCUUUACGCUAGAUUAAAACAAGUAGAGAUAUGAAGUACAAAGACAGGCGGUGUUUCUUCACUCACUGGUCAUUAAUUGCUUCCCUUUCUUCUAUAAAUGUUGUUCUUCUUAAAUAUUCAUUCCAUACAUUGUUCUUAAAUCAAUAGAUGAACAGUAUAUAUAGUUGGAGUUGCAGGUGUUAUAUAUACUUGCUUAUUUAUUUUUAAAGCAAUAUGUUUGAAUUUGAAUUAUAUUGCUUAUUUAUUUUUAAUGCAAUAUGUUUGAAUUUGAAUUAUAUUAGCACUACUGAAUAUUCAACACUCAGCAUAUGGUUAUGUUUGUUUUCAUGUGUAGGUCUCGGACGUAAGUAAACAUAGAUUUAAAUUGAUCAAGCAUCCAACUCAACAGCUUAACUCGAGAUACAUCUUGUUACUUCUUUUGUAUGUAUAUAUAAGUUUGGGCUAUACACCAUGUACCUAGGGUAUUUAUGACUUGGUGUUGAGCUUGCAUUUUGGCAUGCUUGGUAACUUGGCCUAUAUGGUUUAUAAAGUUGAAUUUCAUCGUUUGACCAAUAGGUAAUUCUGUUAGUUCAUAUGAGUUUGAAUAUGCGAAUUAGUUGAUUGGGCAUUGAUGCAUAAAUUACUAUGAAUUUAUGUUUGAUUAAGUUUAUAUGUGUCAAUUUGAGGCUUUUGUAUUAAUGUAAAGUUUAGGCAUGUUGUUUAGGUAUGUUGAUGGUUUUAUAUGUAUGGUUUGGAUGCUUAAAAUUAAGUAAAUAGGGUCAUUUUACUAUUUAGUCUUGAGACAAGAAGAACAUGUCUUAAAACCCUAAGAAUAAGUGUUUACUAUUUGGGAUGUUGAAAUGGCCUUGGUCGCAAGACUAACCUGUUAGGUCUUAAGACAAUUGGACACAUGUCUAGAGACAAUAAUGCAUCAAAGCUAAAAUAAGAAAAUGGGUGACGUCAAUCUCGAAAAAUGAAAGACCUUGUCCCAAGAUAUGCUAAAAUCGAAGCAAAAUUCUCAAAAAUGAAAUGUGGCAUGUCUCAAGAUAUCAUGUGAAAACUUGGAAAUUGAGUUUGAAUUCGAAUCUUAACUCUUAAAUCAACCUCACAUUUUGAUAAAUUAUGAUAUUAUAUAUUAAGAAUGUGUAUGAAUAUGUUAUAUGAAAUAAAUGAAUUGAAAUGAUUACUAUACAUUGACUGAUGUGUUCAAAAUGUAAGUUAGCCUAGGUUGUUUCGGUAAUGUAAUGUUACAUCACAUAGAGGUGUUCAAAUUUCUAUUGAAACCGAAUUAACUAACCAAACAAAUCUAAUUUGAUUAAUCCGUUCAUUAACCAAUCUAAUUCAGACGGAAAUCAAUUAAUAAUUUUUUAGAAGUUUGAUUAUUAAUUAAUUCGAUUCAGAAUCAGUUAAUUAAUUGAAUUAACUGAAAAAAAUAAUAUAUAUUAUAUAAAAUAUAUAUUAGCAGCCUACAACCCAUCCAAGCCCUAGCCACUACCUAGCACAGGUCCACUAACCCAACCUAAAUAAACAUUUAAAAUUCAAUCCAAUCCAGAUAAUUAAUUUAAUUAUAAAAUUAAUUUAUAUUAAAUAAAUAAUUUAAUAAAAAACUGAAACUCCUAAAAAAAACUAAAAAUAAUUCAGUAACUCACACCCUAUUUCGAUGUUUUUAAUCUCCCAAAAUCCCUAAUCGCAAAUACCUUCCAUUUGCUAAAGAAGAGGUUCGUUUUUUUUAAAGACAUUUUCUAUCUAUUUACUAAAGAUGUUUACCUUUGAUGACCCAUCACCAGAGAUCAUGGCCACCCUUAAAAUUGACGUGAAAGGAGUUGCCUUCUCACAUUUAGGGAAAAUUCUCCCAUGCUCUUCAAGCAUGCACACAUAUAUGUUUGGCUACUCUUGUUUACUGUCUUCCAAAUUAGAGAUGAUUUGGAGAGCAUCUCCUUCAACAAUAAUAGAAUGAUAUCCCAACACGUGCUUAUUCACUCACCCUCCGUUCCUCCCUUUUCUUCUAUAAAUCAUGUUCUUCUUGAUUAUUCGUUCCACACAUUGUUAUUAAAUCAAUGGCUGAGCAGUACAUAAUUGGAGUUGGAGGUGUUAUAGCCUCCCUUUUGGGGUUCCUUUUCUUGUACUGCAAUUCCCUCAUAAGAUUUAGGGGACUGAGGAAGCUAAAAAGAGCAGCUUCAAUGGAGUUUCCAAAGGGGAACAGUGUAAACAAAACUGGAAAUAGUGAGGGUGCUGGCACUACGGAUAUUAUCAUAGUCGGCGCCGGUGUUACCGGUGCUGCUCUUGCCUAUUCUCUUGGAAAGGUCCCAUUUUUUCUCCUUGUUCUUUUUUUUGUUCUUCCAUAGUUUUAAUCAUCUUAUUUUCCUCUUCCAGCAUAUAACAACUACUUUUUUUUUUUUUGGGUAAAAAUACGAUGUUCACCUCUUACUAAAAGUCGAAUUGCAUAUAAAUUAUUCUCUUUAUAUUAGAUCAAGUAGUAAACUGAUUAUUUCUAUUAAAAAUUUAAUCCACUUUUAUAGUUAAAAUUGAUGUGGCUGACAGAAUAUAAAUAGUUACACAUAGUGUGCCAUACCUUAUGUUAAUGUAUAGGGACCAAUUUUUAGUAGUAGGAACUGAUGGAUUUUUUAACAGAGGACUAAUUUGCUCUUAGAUCUAUUGUAUAAGGACUAAUUUGUUCAUUUCUUAGUAGAGGGGAUAAACACAAUUCGACUCUUAGUACAAGGCCCUCCAUGAUGCUUUUACCAAUUUUUUUUGAGGAACAAUUACUAAUUAAAUUUGCAUUUUAUUAUUAUUGGUUGAAGUAUUAUAUGGGAAGAUAAUAUUUCGAUAAGUUAAUUUAAUUUCAUGUGGAUCUGUGUUUAUCUUUUAUAAUAAAUUCAAAUUUUAAUUUGAUAGCAGAAUGAAAUAUUCAAUAUUUUCUUAAAUUGGAUUGGUUCUAAUUGAGAAUUGAUUACAGUAUUGGUCCAAAAGAAAUAAAAAUCAUUUGACUCAUGAAUGGUAUAAACUAAUUAAAUCGGUGAUUGAAUUUGUUGAUCCGGAUUUUAUAAUUUUUUUAUUUUUAUUUUUUAAAUUUUUUAAUAGUCUAUUUAUCUUAAAUAAGAUAAACAAAUAAAUCAAAAUUGAUGAUUUGACUAAUUUCACCAUCAAUGUAGAAAACAUAUUUGUAACUAAAUAUAUAUAUAUGAAUUUUUUAUAAUUGGUAAGGCACAAUAUGAAGUACUAAUAGUUAAAAUAUAUAUAAUUUAUUUUGACAGUCGGAUUUAAUUUUAUUUAUUAUAAAUGGAUAUAAGCAUUUGAAUUAUUAUCAUUUAUAUUAUUAGUUAGAAAAAAUUCUAUAAAUCUCGAUUAAGUCUUAGCUCAAUUGGUAUGAGUAUUAUUGUCAAUGCGCUAAAGCGUAUUAUUUUCUUAUUUAUGGGUUGGGGAGGAGCUAUAGUUAGUGUCGAAACCAUCUUUCAAAUUUAAAGAAAAAUGGGGAAUCGACUUUUUGAAAAUAAAACGUGGAGUCGCCACCAAUCUUUUUAUUUAGGUGUGAUUGGAUCACCAAGAAGUUUGGUCAUUCUAAUAAAAUACUUUGGCUUACUAAAACAACGAUUUUGGUCUACGCAAAUAUGAGAAAACAGGUUCGAGAGUCGGUUACGUAUGAGGAAGGAUUAGCACCCUCACUACGCCCAAAAUCGAUACCAAAUCAAUUAAAUAUUGUCCUUAUGUCUGAGAUUUAAAAGAGUUUUUGAAAUGUGAUUCCUUUUGAAGCGUUUGAAUGGCUCGAGUUGGUUGUCAAAAUUCUCUUGUUUCGGAGGAAUGCAGCAUCACAUCUAGCACGAUAGGACACGAUCCUUUAUACCCCCGAAAAUAACGAUGAGUUUUGACUUCCGAAAGCUUAUACAUUGAAAAUUACAAAAGGAUGCCCAAUUAUUCAGUCCAAUGAAAAAUCGAAACCCAGCACGGUAGGGUACGAUUCCCCGAAUUUCCAAACUUUGAACAUUGCCUUAUUUUAGAGUUUAGAGAACAUGAGUGAAAUUCUAAAGGGAUAUUCGAUUAUUUUGAACAAACAGGAAAUCGCAACCCAGCAUGAUAGGGCACUAUUCCCCGAAUUGCCAAACAUCAAACAUUACCUUCGUUUUGAAGAAUUUUUAAAGACAUGGGUGAAAAACAAAAGGAAUAUUCGAUUAUUUUGAACAAGCAAGAAAUCGCAACCCAGCACAAUAGGGCACGAUUCCCGAAUUGUCAAACAUCGAGUAUUGCCUUCGUUUUAAAGAAUUUUUAAAUGAAUAAUUAUAAAAAUAGCUUAAAACGCGUUAAUGCAACUUGAAAUAAAACGAAAUUAAUCUUAAAGAUUUGGACCUUAUAAAACCAAAUUUCGUAAACCAAGUGGAAAACAAUGAUAUGGGAUGAUGUACACACAUGAGAUACAAUCAAUUAACAAACUAAUAAUUAAGUAAAACUAACCUAAAAAAUAUAACCCGAUUACGAUCAUGCAUGGAAAAUAAUCGAUAUAAUAAUACAAAACAAUGAAUAAAUAAUAUGCAACGACAAUGUAUGGCACAAUAUAAAACAAUCGAUGCAAGAUGUAUAAAGCAAAAUAGCAAUUAAAAGUUAAUGUGAUAAAAGACAAUCUUAAGAUAAUGAUGACUUGGUGAAGACAUAAUACACAUAAUGUAUGAAUUGAUGAAUUUAAAAUAAUUUGUAAAAACAAACUAGAAAUAUAUAUACAUAAUUAUUAAAAUACGUGUUAUAAAAUAAAUAUAUUAAAAUCAAAUAAUGUACAAGGUGUCAAAACAUUUUAAAAAAACAUACAAUAAAGGAGAAUUUAAUAAUAUAUAAACAUGAAUAGGUAGCCAAGAUGCAUGAUAAAUAGAAUUUUAGAAAAUAUAUUAUAUACAUAAUGGAUUAAAAGCAUACACACACAUAUAUAUAUAAAAAAAUUUAAAAGUAAUUACAUGUGAAAACGACAUAGAAAUGAUAAUAUGUAUAGGAUUAAAUUAAUUUUAUUAUAGAUUAUAUACAUAAUAGAUUUAAAAACAUACCUAUAUAUGUUGUAGGUCAAUUUUGGCCCGUUUACAUCAAAACCCACUAAACCUACCCCAACCUAAACAAAGUUUAAACCUAUUAAAACUCGAAGCCCAAAAUUUCAGCCCACCUAACCAUUACCCAAACCCAAUAGCCUAACCUAACCCUAGCCCAAACAAAAUCAGAAAAAGAAAAAACCCUAGCCCCCCUUAAGUUCAGCCAUCGUACCAGCAUGCCCACACGCCUCCUCCUAGCCUGCUGCCACCACCUACUCCCGUUCCAUCACCUGCAAAAGAGAGACGAACACGCAACAGACAACACAGAGCAGUAGCAAAGAAACAAUAUAAUAUGUAUCCAAAUUGGCUGUAAAGCUAGAGAAAUAUAACACAAAAGGGGCCUCUUUUUUUUCUUUGCAAAAAUACAAAACAUUCGGGGAUAGUCUCAAAUCAAAAAAAUAUGCUGAAGAUCAAACCCAAAACCCAAGGUGAUUUUAUUUUUUUUCAUUUUUUUUAUUUUUUUAUUUUUGAAUUUAUUCGUUUGCAUGAAUAUAUAUAUUACAAAUAUAUAAAAAAAUAAUACAAAUAUAAUAUAAAAAAAACCUACCUUCUCGAUUUUUCACGGUGGCCGGUGACGGUGGAGAUGCGGCGGUGGACGGUGGCGGGUCACCGGAUUUGCUGACCGGGCCAUUGAACCUGCAGAGAAAAAAAAGAAGGGAAAGGAAGUUUUUUUAAAAAAGCAAAGGAAAGAAUGAAUUUUAAAAAAAAAAAUCUGACUUAUAUACGCCCCUAAAAUGACGUCGUUUUGGGGUUGGCCUUAAACACCCAAAACGACGUCGUUUUGAUGCAACCCGGAUUUGACCCGACCCAAUAGGCUGAGAUCCGCGUGUUUUUCAUUGGAGGGGCUAAUUGCACUUUUAGCCCCUCCGUUUUUUUAUGGUUUUGCAAUUAGAUUUAUUGUGCUUUUAAUUUGGCCCCAUGAUUUUGUUUCGUGUUCAUUUUGGUCCUCUCUUAAGUGCAGUGUUUUGGAGGGAAGGGAAAACCUCCCUUUUAGUCCCCCAUAUCAUUCGCGCACUUCAAAAGGGUCCCUAUUCUCUUUUUUAUUUCUGAUUUGACCCCAAAAUUUAGUUUUUAGUUCAAUUUUAGUCCUUUUUACUCAUUUUUUAUUUUUUUUAAUUUUGCUAUUUUAUAUUUAAUAUAAAUAAUGUAUAUUACUUAGUUUUUGUACUUUAUUAUAGUUAUUGUUAUAUUAUAUUAUACUUAGUAUUACUCUAAUAUUAUUUAUGAUAUUACAUCUUUAUUAUUAUUAUUAUAUGUUUUAUUAUAUAUGUAUAUAUCUUUAAUAUAUAUAUGUCUAUUGUAAUGGGCCAAAUCCGUCCGGGCCCAACACAAUGGCCCAAUGCCCAAAACAAGCCCAAACAACCUAAAAUUUUGGUCACUGGAAACCCUAGCAGCCUCCAACGUCGACUGCCCCCUCCAUACCUCCGUACCUAGUACCGUAUGGCCUCCACGGGCCACACACACCUGCAAACAGACAAGAAUAGCACAGCAAAACAGCAGCUGAGAGAAAAAAACAAAAAAUUCCUUGUAUUUUUCUUUUAUUUUCGGCUAUAUAGAAGCCCUAUGUUCAUGGAAAAAAAGAGGGGGCAUACACACAUACAUUAUACGAAAACUGAAUAGAAACAUUCAAAAACAAUUUCUGAAGAGGUGAUCUUUCUUAGUCUUUUUAAUCUUUCUGUCAUUUUUAUCUAUUUUCCAUCGAUUGUUUUCAUCAUUUUCAUUUUAAAACAAAGGAGGGGAAAAAGCAAACCUUACCUUGCGAAUCGGCUGUCGAAACCAUCUUUUUUUCAAAAUUUUAAAUGUAAUAAAAAAGGGGAAUUGACUUUUUGAAAAUAAAACAUGAAGUCGCCACUGAUCUUUUGUUUUGGUGUGAUCGGAUCACCUAAGAAUUUGGUUAUUUUAAUAAAAAAUUUUGGUUUACUAAAACAACGAUUUUGGUCUACGAAUUUUUGAGAAAAUGGGUUCGGGAGUCGGUUACGCAUGAGGAAGGAUUAGCACCCUCACUACGCCCAAAAUUGGUACCAAAUCGAUUAAAUGUUGUCCUUUUGUAAAACAUUUUUGAAAUGUGGUUCCUUUUCGAUAAUCAUUUGAAUAACCCGAGUUGAUUGCCAAAAAUCUUCUCGUUUCGACGUCCAAAAGUUUAUAAUUUGAAAAUCACAAAAGGAUACUUAACUAUUUGGUCCAACGAAAAACCGAAACCCAGCACAGUAGGGCACGAUUCCUUGAAUUUCCAAACAUUGAACAUUGCCUCGUCUUAGGAAAUACGAGUGGAAUUCUGGAGGGAUCUUCGAUUGUUUUGAACAAAUGAAAAAGCGCAACCCAGCACGAUAGGGCUCGAUUCUCAAAUCGCCAAACAUCGAACAUCGCUUAUUUCUUUUAAAAUCCCUUAAACGAAGGUGAUGUGCGAUAUUUGGCAAUUCGUGGAAUCGUGCCCUAACGUGUUGGGUUGCAAUUUCUCGAUUGCUUAAGAUAAUCAAAUAUCCCUUCAAAAUUUCACUCAGGUCUUCUAAAAAUCCUUUAAAACGAAGGUAAUACUCGGUGUUUAAUAAUUCGGGAAUCAUGCCCUAUCGUGCUGGGUUUUGAUUUCUCAUUUGUUCAAAAUAAUCGAAUGUUCCUUUAGAAUCUCACUUGUGUUUUUCUAAAUCCUAAAUAAAGGCAAUGUUUGAUAUUUGGCAAUUCGCGGAAUCGUGCCCUAUCAUGCUGGGUUGCAAUCUCUUGUUUCUUCAAAAUAAUCGAAGGUCCCUUCUGAAUUUCACUUACGUUUUCUAAAAUCUCUUUAAAACGAAGGCAAUACUCGGUGCUUGGCAAUUUGAGAAUCGUGCCCUAUCGUGCUGGGUUGCGAUUUCUCGUUUGUUCGAAACAAUCGAAGAUUCCUUUGGAAUUCCACUCAUAUCUUUAAAAACUCUUCAAAACGAAGGUAAUACUCGAUGUUUGGCAACUUGGGGAAUCGUGCCCUAUCGUGCUAGGUUGCAAUUUCCUGUUUGUUCAAAAUAAUCUAAUAUUCCUUUAGAAUUUCACUCAUGUUUUUUAAAAUUCUAAAAAUAAGGCAAUGUCUGAUAUCUAGAAAUUCGAGGAGUCGUGUCCUAUUGUGCUGGGUUUCGAUUUUCUCGUUGGACUAGAUAAUGGGUAUCCUUUUACGGUUUUCAACAUAUAAACUUCUGGAACUCAAAACUUAUCAUGUUUUCGAGGGUAUAAAGGAUCGUGUCCUAUCGUGCUGGAUGUGAUGCUAUAUUCCUCUUAAGCAAGAGAAUUUUGAUAACCAACUCGGGUUAUUCAAAUGUUAUCGAAAAGGAACCACAUUUCAAAAACGUUUUACAAAAGGACAGCAUUUAAUCGAUUUGGUACCAAUUUUGGGCAUAGUGAGGGUGCUAAUCCUUCCUCAUACGUAACCGACUCCCGAACCCGUUUUCUCAAAAAUUCGUAGACCAAAAUCGUUGUUUUAGUAAAUAAAAAAUGUUUUAUUAAAAUAACCAAAUUCUUAGGUGAUCCGAUCUCGCCAAAAUAAAAAGCUCAGUGGCGAUUCCACGUUUUAUUUUCAAAAAGUCAAUUUCCCCCGUUUUUUCAUUAGAUCCAAAAUUUUGAAAAAAGAUGAUUUCGACAUCUAUAUUUAUGUAGUAUUAUUAAUAAUUGUUUUGUAACAUUAUUAUUAUUUCUAAUAUGUAUAUAUCAUGUAUAUAUUUUAAUACUAUAUUAUGUAUAUAUUUUAUAUAUAUUAUAUGUAUAUAUAUUUUUAAUAUUAUAUUUUUUAUAUAAAUUAUGUAUAUAUUUUUUAAUACCACAUUAUUCAUAUAUUUUUUAUAUUAUCCCAUAAAUACUUUCAAUACUAUAUUAUGCAUAUAUUUUUGUCUAUAUUAUAUAUAUACUUUUAAUACUCAAUACUAUUAUUAUGAAUAUAUUUUUGGUAUAUGUAUGUAUAUAUAUAUUUCUUUUAUUAAUAUAUUAUUAUCAUUAUUUUUUUCCACUUUAUAUUAUAUUAUUUUUAUUUUUUUGCAUACUUAUACUUAUUUCAUUACUACUUCAAUAAUUACCAUUAUCACUAUUAUUAGUAUAAUCAUUAUUUUCUUUUCAUCAUUAUUAACAUAUAUAUACACACACACACACACAUAUAUAUAUAUUUAUAUUUAUGUACAUAUUGGUAUUUUCUUUUAUUGUAAAUAUUGUUAUUGUUAUUUUAAUAUUCUUAGAUUUUAAUAUUUUUUUAUUAAUUGUAUCAUUGUUUGCAUUAUUUACGAAUUCUUAUUAUAAUAAUGUUUUAUUCAUAUUUUUUAAUUAAUUUCAAUAAAUAAGGCAAUGUGCCGAUUUAACAUUAAGUCGUUGAUUUCAUCGCUAUAUUGGGUGAAUAUCACCGGCUCGUGUUAAAAACGAAACGCUCUUCUCAAAAGAAACUGACAUUUUAAAAAUUCUCAUGUUUUGAUCGGAUCACAAUUAAAAUUCAAAUUGAAUUCAUAUUUUUGAAAAUCAAGACAACACGUGUUUAACAAGAUACCAAUUUUGGGUGUCGCAAGGGUGCUAAUACCUUCCUCGCACGUAACCGACUCCCAAACCCAACUUUACUCUGGCUUUUGACGUAGACCUAAACUCGGCUUUCUUUUUAUUUAAAAAAUAAAUUUUCUUUUAAAAAAGAGGAUUUAUUAGGUGUCCGAUCACACCUAAGAAAGACGAUCGAUGGCGACUCUUUUUCUUUUUAAAAAACCGAAAUUCCAUUUUCAAAUUUUCAAAUAAUCGCCUCAACUAGCGACCGAAAGCGAAAAAUUUUUACGUCGCUAUAAUAUAUAUAAGGAGAACUAUAUGUAUAAAAUACAUGUAUUUAAUAAUAUAUAUAGAUUAAAUAUGAGUAUCAAUAAAUAUGUGUACAUAUAUGAUAAUAACUUAAAAGAUAUAUUAUGUAGGACUAUAUAAUAAAAUAUAAGAAUAAAUUUAAGAGAAAUCAUAUGUAUAAAAAAAUAAGGUUAAUAAUAUAUAUGAAAUGAAAUUAACUUUAAUAUAAAGUAUAUAUAUAUGUAUAAUAGUGUAUAAAUAAAUUUUACACGAAAUAGUGUACAAAAUGUGAGAAUACAAUCACCCGAAUGUCAAUAAAUAAGUAAGAAAACGAUACAAAUAGUACAAUCAACACAAAUAAAUAACACGAAUAAAAAAACUUGAAAUAAAUCUAAAAAGAAACUUAAUUGAAAUCAAAUUAAAAUAAAGAGAAUAAUUUACAAAUACAUUAAACUGCGGGUAACAAAAUAAGGACCGGCACGUAAUGUGUACAAAUACACAAGGACUAAAACUAGAAUUAUUCCAAGCCCCAAAACGUUGUGUUUCAUUACGGACUAAAAUGAAACGCGCGUGAAUUAUAAAGGCUGAAUUAAAAAAGAAAUGAAACAAAUGGCAGCCCAUUGAGCCAUUAUACGAAUAGGGAGGACCAGAUGCAUAAUUAACCCAUUUUGAACAAUAGGCGCGGAUCCGGCUUGCUAUUCGGGUUGGCGCGCUGAUCCUAAUAGCUGAAAGGUGUCGUUUUUGUAGCGACGUAAAAAUUUCGCUUUCGGUCGCUAAUUGAGGCGAUUAUUUGAAAAUUUGAAAAUGGAAUUUCGGUUUAAAAAAAGGGAGUCGCCACCGAUCUUUUUUCUAGGUGUGAUCGGACACCUAAUAAAUCAUCUUUUUUAGAAAAGAAAGUUUAUUCUUGAACAAAAACGAAGGCCAAACUUGGGUAUACGCGAAAAUCCUGAGAAAAAUAGGGUUUGGGAGUCAAUUACGCACGAGAAAAGUAUUAGCACCCUCAUGACGCCAAAAAUUGGUAUCUUUAUUAAACACGUGUUGUCUUGAUUUUCAAAAAUACGAAUUCAAUUUGCCAUUUAACCGUGAUCCGAUUGAAAAACGAGAAUUUUUUAAAACACGAAAAUUUUGAAAACACGAAAAUUUUUGGGAUCCGAAUUUUUUUUUUAAAACGCGAAAAGUUUACAGCAUUAGAAUUUUGACAAAUUACAUAUCCUCAUCUACAUUUUAAAAAUAAAGUUUGAUCACUUACCAAUAAUCACAAAAAUAAAUAUCUUAUUUCAAAACACGAGAAUUUUUAAAUUUUUCGAUUUUUUUAAAAAGGACGUUCCAUUUUUAACACUAGCUGAUGAUAUUCACCCAACAUAGCGAUGAAAUCAAUGGCUUAAUAUUAAAUCGGCACGUUGCCUUAUUUAUAAAUAAAAAGAAGAAGAAAAAAAUGAAUAAACUAUUUUUUUUAAAUAAAAAUUCAUAAAUAAAUAAACGGUGCAAACAUGAUAUAAUGAAGUGAUUAAUAAAAAACAUUAUAACAUAAUAUUAAGAUAUUAGAGUAAUAACAAAUAAUAUUUAUAAUAAAAGAAAAAAAAAGUAAAAAUGUAUUAAUACCACAAUAAAAUAAUAUAUGUAUAAUAACAAUAUGUACAGAAAGAUGUAUGUAUACCAAAUAAUACAUAAUAAUACUAAAAUAAAAUAAUAAGUAACAAUAGUGAAAAUAAUAAGCAUAAUAAUAAAUAUAAUGAUAUAUAAAAAUAAUACUAUAUAUAAAAGUAUAUAUAUACGUACAAUAAAAUAUAUACUAAUAUUAAUAAUAAAUAUAACAGGGGUAAAAAUAAGUAUAAUAAUAUAUUAGAUAGUAAAAAUAAUAAUAAUAACAAUAAUAAUAAUAAUAUGUGAAGGUUGAGAAAAAUAACAAUUAAUAAUAACCAAAGUUUUAAAAUCAUAAAGGGACAUAAAUAAAUGGUAAAACAAAGUAAAAUAAAUGUAUGUAAAAAAAAGGAAUAGAUAAAUAAAUAUAAAAGAAAUAUAAUAGUAAUAGUAAUAGUAAUAAUAAUGCAAAGCUAAUUAAUUUAAUAAUAUGAUAAUAAUAAUAGUAAAGUAAAAGGAAAACAAUGAAAGGGAAAUACGGGGAAAUAUAUAUAAGGAAAUAAAUAAUAGAUGGAUAGACAAAUAAAUAAAUAUUAGCAACGUGAAAAUGAUAAAAUAAUAAAUAUUUAAAUGAAGAUAAUAAGAACAACAAAUAUUUAGAAAGUAAGCAUUAAAGUCCUUAAUAUAUAUGUGAGGGAUAUAAUAUAACAAACAGAUGAAUAAACAAAAAAAAAAAAGAGUCUGAAAUGAAAUAAGCGCAAAAGUGGAGGACCGAAUUGGGAAUAUUCCCAUACCAUCAAAACGGUGCCACUCCAACCAGUACUAAAAUGUAAUUAAAAUAAUAUUUUGGGCGGAAUUUAAAAGUAACAAUGAGCUGAUUUGAAAGGACCAGAAAGGAGGAGAGAUCAUUUACACAAUUUGUCCCAAAAGCAAAAACAUGCUUGGCCUAGUAUUUGUGACGCCAUUUCAUCUUUGUUAUUUUUUUUUUAUUUUUUAUUCUUUACUUCAUUUUUUGUUUAAGCAAACAAAGAACACCCUACCUCUUUUCCCCUUUUUCGGUUAAGGUUUCUAAACUCAUUUUUGCCGCCGUCAUUGUGGCUCUUUGAAACCGCCGGGGCUUCCACCGUCGACAGUGGUCAGGGCCACCAAGAUCCAGGUAAAUUUUUCUUUUUUCUUUUUAUUUAAAAACGAUUUAUAAUGAAAAACUAUGAGAUUGAAUCGAAAGAAAACAAAAAAAAAAGGAAAGAAAUAAACUAAAGGAAUAAGAGAAAUAGAGAUUAAAAUCCACCUUUUUUCUUCUGUUGUUUUGCUUUUUGAUUUUCAAUACAUUUGUCUAACAAUCUUUUUCUUUUUUUUCAAAACAGAACAACAACCAAAGGAAAUCAAAACUAAAAAAAUCCUCCCCUUUUUUCUUUUUGCUUGGCUUUUUAUAGCCAUUUUACAAGUUUUUUUAUUACUACUUUUGCUAUUUUUUUUUGUCUUGCUUGUUUGCUUUAUUUUUUGCAAUGUAUGGAAGUGACUGGUGGGGUUGUCAGAGGCAAGUGGCACCGAAAGUUGAGGCUAGGGUUAGGUUUUCCCUUCUUUCUUUUUUUUCUAAUUUGGGCUAUAUUAUUGGGCUAGGGAUUUUUAUAUUUUUUUAAUUUUAGGUUUGGGUAGUUGGGUUAAUUUAGAUGGAUGUGGGCUGAUUGAGGUUUGGGUAAGUUAGGUGGUUUUUUUUUUGUUGUAAAUGGGUUUAAUUUGUGGUAGGCCAAAAUUGGCCUGCAACAGUUUUUUUUAAUGUUAAAGGUUCCUACUCCCACUUAUUUUCUUUCCCAAAACGCAGAUGAAAAAGAAAAGAAAGGAGAACCCCUGCUCUGCUAGGGUUUGGCUCAUUGCGCAGCCACUAAACCUCCAUUAACUUGAUGGCCAAUGGCGCGAACGACGGCCAGAUCUGGUACACGCCCAUGGAGGUAAGCUCUUUCCUUUUCUUUUUCUUCUUAAGAAAACUCAAGUCAUGCAUUAUUCCUUUUAAAAACAAAGCAUAAAUUCAAAAGCAUCAAAACAUUCGACCCUCGCCCGAAUCUCUGUAUUUUCGAGAAGUUUUUGGCCUUUCAUCAGUGUCGAUUCACAUGUUAAAAAAGAAAUCAAGCCAAUGAAAAGAAAAAAUAAAUCGAAAGAAAAAGGGACAAAGAAGCUUGAAAUCACCUUUACUAUUUUGAUUUCUUUUUCUCUGUUCUAUAUGCGUGUGUUGCGUAAAAAAAAAGGAAGACCCUUACAAUCGCUGUAUUCUUGGCUUUAUAGUCGAAACAGAAAAAGAAUAAAACAAAAUGCAAUGUUUCUCUUUCUUUUUUUGCUGCUGUUGUGUUCGUCCUUUUACAGGUACGGGGUAUGCUGGCGCUUGGCGUGGGGCGUACGGGAGUUGUGCGCUGGGGGCUGCUGAGGCGUACAGAGGUAGUUGGUGCGUCGUACGGUGCGAGGGUUGGGGCUUGGCUGCGGCACGAGGGAGAGGGCCCUAGGGUUUCUGAAACCUUGACAUUUUGGGCUUUUCGGGCCUGAUCUUGCAGUUGGGCCACAAGUUUUUGUAAUUGGAUUGUAAACUGGAUUGUUAUGAUUUGAAUUUUUUGGUCUUGUAUUUGGGUUAGAUUUUGGUUAAGUUUAAUAUUGGACUUUUAUUUUUUGUUUUGUUUUGUUUUUUUUUUUGGGUUUCUAAUGGGUCGGGUAAAAAUGGCCCAUUACAGUUAGUUCUAAGCAUUGUUUCAAAAAAAUACUAUAUAUAAUCAGAACUUAUAAUGAGAUUAUUAAAAGAAAUCUAUAAAUAAGUUUAAUAAAUUUUGUAAGUCCUUUAUUUAUUAAUUUUUAUUUUUUAAAAGGUUUAAUUGAUAAAUUACACCCUAAAAUAUAUCUAAAUAUUUUUUUUAAACUAAUAAUUAAACAAUAAUUCAUUUAAUGCAAUAUCAAUAAAUAAUUAUGAUUUUAUAAUAGUAUUUAUAUUAAUAUUAAUUAAAAAAUUAUAAUAACAUUUCAAAAAUUCCCUUUUAAAUCAUUUAAAAAUUUUCAAAAUAUGAUUACCCUCAAUCAAACAUUCAUUGAAAAAAUUUAGUUUCAAACUUUUUGCAAUACAUAAGCAAGAAAUAAAUAUCAUUUAAUUUCUAUAAGAAAAUGUGCCAAUUAAACAUUAAUGAAAUUCAAUAAGAUGCAGUAUUCAAGCAAAGUCAUGCAUCAAAACAGUGUGACAACAAGAAUUAAUGGAUGAUCACAUUAUCAACAUUUGCAUAUUAAUGAUAAAAGUAAUAAAGCUUAUGCAAAUAAAACUUUGUUGAAGAUUAGAUCAAAGAUCCAAGACAAUUGCCUUUCUUGUUAAACCACUAGCGUUUCUUCUGAUCACUGCUCAAAUAUGGGGAAGCAACCACACUAGUUGUAGUGGUUCUUGUUGCAACAUAGAAGUUGGGAUGAUUUGCAGUGGUGAUUCACAUCGUUUAAAAAUGGUGUAUAAAAGUCUAAUGCAUUUUGGCACAACUUUGGCUUAUAUCCUAAAGCCCCUUUUCUCUUGUGAUGGAGAGGGCUUUUCUAGAUGAGGGGGUGCUUUUAUACGGGUGACUUGAGCAGAAGCGCCCAUCCAAAUUCUGCACGAACUUACAAUCGAGUAAACAAAGUUGAGUCCGUGACACAUUAUGAGCUUAAGUAUAUUCUUCGAUAGAAAUUUUUUUAGCUAACUGGAUAGUAAAAGCAGCAUUAAGUAUUCCUAAAAAGAUUUUUUAUCUUCGAUGAAUCAUCAUCAAAGACCAUGAUCACCUUUAAAGCCGAUAUGGAAAAUUCUCUCAUGUGCUCCAAACUUACACUCUACCUGUGCGAAUUGCAGAACUCCCCACAUUUAUUGAUUGUCUUUUUAGGGCCUUGUCCCUCUUUAGUCCCACAAAAUAAAUAAUUUAAUCUGUCUUUUUUCCUUUUUUGUUUCUUUUUGCAAUAAUAAUGCAUCCUUUUUUUUCCAUAGCGUGUGGUGGAGGUACUUCAGUCAUCAAUCAUAGUUUUUGCUAGAGAAAUGUCUUCUUCAUUUCAUUAAUCAUUUAGAGCAUAAGCAAUUACAACUUCAUGAAAAAAAAAGGGUAUUCUUCCAUCCACAUAACAUCAUCACUGUAUUGCAAAAAUUCCUUAGAUUUCAUACUUGCCAAUGCUUCUGUAUUUUUCCGAAAUUAAAUUGAAAUGCACCAAAAGAAAUCGUCUAUUACUACUUUUAGUUAAAUUUAAAUGAAAUACAAAAGGACACAAAAAGUAAUUGCCUAUAUAAAUAUAUUACUUUUGUAGAGGUUAUUUUAUUAUCUAUAUAGUAUAAUGUUGGGUAAACUCCAGUUAAGCAACGAACGGUAAGAAUGGUAACGAUAUGGCUUUUUUUUGGCGAUGGGAGGUCUUAACCGGACGCAAAUGUUUAAAGUUUGGUGGUGAAAUUUUGUUUUGUAGAAUUAGCGGGUUGUUUAUAUCUUUUCAUGGUCUGUGUUCUAAGUUCUGUUUGCUGUAAGUUUGAAUUGUUUGGUUGCUAGUCUGUAUUUUCUUUGACAACAAUGCGGUUUUAAAUGAAGAAAAAAAAAACUCGAGUUAAGCAACGAAUAAGAAUAAAUAGAGACAAAUCCGAUACAAAUAUUUACAUGAAAAAACUUCUCUUAAGAAGAUAAAAAGUUACAGGUAAAAAAAAACUUCACUAGAAUGGCAAAUAACUGAAGAGGAAUACAAGAUAGAGAAACAAAAAACAAAUUCGAACUCAAAAAUACAAAGUUCUUACGAAAUUCCCACAAAACUCUCUCUUAUCCGUGAGAAAAUAUAAAACAUCUCUAGAAUAAUCAGAGUUAGACUAAAAAAAGAUGACAGAGUUUAACUAUGAGAUAAAAUUUGGUUUAGUAGAGAACAUGUCGUCACGUUGUGAUGUGGCGUAUUGCCUUGUCGAUACGUCAUUCUUCGCAUCCUCAAGACAUUGUCUCUUUCUCGUCCAAACAUCAACCCUAUUUCAUCUAAAAUGCGAGGGCCCAAAUCAGAUUUGCAAAUCACAAUAAUUUAACAUGCUUGAUAUUGACAUAUUGUAAACAUAUUAUACACAUAUUGAAAUAUCUUAUUUGUCAAUUGUGGUGAUUAUUAUAUGCCAUUGCACGCUUAUCUUCUAUAAAUGAUGCUCUUCUUGAUUAUUCAUUCCAUACAUUGUUCUUAAAUCAAUGGCUGAGCAGUACAUGGUUGGAGUACUUGGAGGUGUUAUAGCCUCUCUUUUGGGGUUUGUUUUCUUGUACCGCAAUUCCCUAAUCAGAUUUAGGGGACUGAGGAAGCUAAACAGAGCAGCUUCAAUGGAUUUUCCAAAGAGGAACAGUGUAAACAAAACUGGAAAGAGUGAGGGUGUUGGCACUACGGAUAUUAUCAUAGUCGGCGCCGGUGUUGCCGGUGCUGCUCUUGCCUAUUCUCUUGGAAAGGUCUCAUAAAUUCUCCUUUUUUCUUUAUUUUGUUUUACCCUAAUUUAAUCAUCUUAUUUUCCUAGCAUAUAACAAUUGCUAAUUUUUUUUAGUAAAAGUAUUAAAGAGGUUCCUAGUAAAUUUUUAUAUUAAGAGUCGCAUUGUAUUUUAUCCCUUUUACUUAAAAAAUAGGUAAAUUACUUUUUGUAGGUUAGAUUAAAUAAUAAACUGGUACUUUCUGUUAAAAAUUCCAUCUAUUUUUACUGUUAAAAUUUGGCGUGGUUGAUGGUGUAACCAAACAGUUACACACACUGUAUUAUGUGUACCUCAUGCUAACGUACAAGAACUAAUUUUAAGUAAUAGAAGUGGAUAGAAUUUUUAACAGAGAAUCAGAUUGCUUUUUAAUAUAAUGGGACUAAAUUAUUAUUUUUUAAAUUGAGAGACAAAAUACAAUCCAAUUCUUAGUACAAAAACCUCCGUGAUACUUUUACCAAUUUUUUUCAAAGGAACAAUUACUAAUUAAGUUUGCAUUUUAUUAUUAUUGGUUGAAGUGUUAUAUGGGAAGAUAAUAUUCCGAUAACUUAAUUGAAGUUCACGUGGAUUUGUGUUGAUUUUUUAUAAUAAAUUCAAAUUUUAAUUUGAUGGUAAAAUGAAAUAAUCAAUGUUGUUUGAAAUUCGAUCGGUUCAAUUUGGGAAUUAAUUUAAAGUACUGGUUUUAAUAAUUUAUUUGAUUUAAAUAAGAUGAACAGAUUGAAUUGAAAAUCAAUAAUUUGAUCAGUUUAACGACCGAUCCGAUUUAAAAAUAAUAACUAUAACGGUGUAAUAUCAAGUAGUAGUUAAAAAAAUAUAAAAUCUAUUUUGACAGUCCAAUUUGAUUUUAUGCAUGUAAUUUAAAAUAUAAAAUUGUAAUAUGUAUGUCCUUUAUUUAUUAGUUCUUAUUUUUUAAAAUGUAAUUUAAGCGCAUUUGGUAAUUUGAUAAUAUUUACUUGUAGAAAUUUUUUUUGAAAAGUUUAUUAUUACAAAUAGAGUAAAUGUAAAAGUAUAAUAUAUGCUCAAGUAAUUAUAUUGUAGAAUUAAACUUGUAAAAGGACAAAAAGAAAACAAUCAGAAUGAAUCUAAAUAAAAAAACAUACAUGGUAUACACACAUGAUGGAAUUAGAGAUUUAUAUUUUGCAAUUGUGCAUGAUUGAACUCAAACUCGGGUGCUUAAGAAUUCAGAGUCUCUGCAUUAAGCAACACUGCCAAGAUUUCACUGGCAUUCAAAUUUGGAUUUCACUGUGAUACCAUACGUAACAAUUCUUAACAACUUACAUUUUAUAGGAUGGACGUCAAGUGCGAGUAAUAGAAAGGGACUUAAAUGCCCCUAAUAGAAUGGCUGGUGAAAGUCUAACACCAGGGGGCUACUUAAAGUUAAUUGAAUUAGGCCUUGAGGGUAAGCAUGAAAAAUCAUGGAUUUAAAUAGUAGAUGUAAUAUAAUGUUAUAAUGUUAUUUCUUUAUAUAAUUAUUUAUUUUACUUUGAGUGUUGGUUCUAUAGAUUGUGUAGAUGAGAUAGAUGCGCAACAGCUUUUAGGUUAUACUCUAUACAAGGAUGGAAAGGAGGCUCGCGUAUCUUUUCCUUUGGAAAAGUUUCAGUCUCAUGUUGCAGGAAGAACAUUUCAUAAUGGUCGUUUCAUUCAAAGGUUGAGGAAAAAAGUUGCAUCUCUUCACAAGUACUUUCUCUCCCUCCUCUCAAUCAUUCUUCAAUAUCAACAUAAGAUGCCAGAACAUUUUAUCUUAAAGGAUUAAGUGAUUUGUAGUUUGUUUUAACUCAUUGUUUUUGUUUAGACCUGUCAAUUGAGCUAGUUGAGUCGAUUUUGAGUCAAGUCAAUCUAGAUCAAGUCAUUCAAGUUAUACAAUUUUUUUUACGUAAAUUCGGUUUUAGUGAGCUUAGAUUCAAGUCAUUUUAGGUUUGGGUUAAAUUCUGGUUUGGACCGUUACAAGUUUGGAUUCGAGUCUUUUUGGGUUUAGGUCAAUAGGGCUUGAAGCUCGAGUUUUUAAGGUCAGCUAAUGAUAGGUUCAUGUCAUUUAAGGUUAUAGUCACCUCGAUUUUUUAUAUUUUUAACUUACUUGUUUGGAUCAUUUCAGGUUUGAGUGGUCAAUUUAUGUUAGGGUAAAACGAGGUUCGGUUUAGAGGGAUUCAUGUUGUUGACCAUUUAUAGUCAAAUCAAGCCAAGUUUAGGUUUGAAUUGAUCAAGUUAUAUUUUAGGCUUAAGUUAACACGGACAAGUUCGUUUCUACUUUAUUAACUUGUUACAACAAUUUAUUAGAAAGAGUACAUUUGAAAUUAUACUUUUUCUUUACAAGAUCCAAUUUGAUGCUUUGAUGUUAUGAUAAUGUAGCGUAAGUUUAGAACAAGGGACAGUAACAUCUCUUAUUGAAGAAAAUGGUAUUGUCAAAGGAGUGCACUACAAAAAUGGGAGUGGUAAACUAUUGACAACUUACGCUCCUCUCACCAUUGUAUGUGAUGGCUGUUUCUCAAAUUUGAGACGCUCUCUUUGCUAUCCUAAGGUGAAAAUGCUUAGAAAUUCUUGUUAAAUUUGUUCAAUUAUGGUUUCUGUUUCUCUAUUAUGCUAAAAUUUUAUAUUUAAUCAUUCUACUUUAUUUUGAUUUAAUUUAAAUCUAUUUAUUUUUAUAAUGUUAUUGUAUGUCCAAAUUGAUAAUAUUAUUAAUUCCUUUUUAUUACAAAUGAUACCUACUAAUAACAUUGAGAGAUACUUUUUUUUCGCAAUUAAAGAAAAAAGAUUAAAUUCUAAUUAUAGGAUAAUAGAGGGACUAAUCCUAAAUUCUAUGCUUUGAGAAAAUAUUUUAAGGUCUAUAGUUUUUUUUUCUGCAGGUUGAUAUACCCUCUAAUUUUGUUGGUCUUACACUGACAAACUGUAACCUUCCAAAAGAAAAUUAUGGAGCUAUUAUAUUAGCAAACCCUUCACCAAUCGUAUUUUAUCAAAUUAGCAGCACUGAAAUUCGUUGCAUGGUGAAUGUUCCUAGUGAAAAGUUACCUUCAGUUUCCAAUGGUGAAAUGGCAUGUUACUUGAAAACUCAGGUGGCUCCCAAGGUAUAUUUAGAUCUUUCUUUUAUUCAUUCAUUAGGGGAAUUUGGCUUAGUUUAUGGACUAACUGUAUGGCUUAUAAUACACUUCAGGUUCUUCCUGAAUUGUACGAUUCCUUUAUAUCUGCAAUAGAGAAGAAGGGUAACAUAAGAAUAGCGCCGAAUAAAAUCAUGGCUGCUGCUCCACACCUGACUCCUGGUGCGCUUUUGAUUGGAGAUGCACUCAACAUGCGGCACGCUAUAACCGGAGGGGGAAUGACUGUUGCUCUGUCUGAUGUUGUAAUACUUAGGGAUCUUCUAAGACCCUUGCAUGAUUUAUCCGAUGCAUCCCCCAUUUCUAAAUAUCUCGAAUCUUUUUAUACCCUGAGGAAG